AGUACUUUUGUGUCUAGUAUUGAUAAGUAACAUGGGAGUCCUAGUACCAUUGAUGAAUUGAUCAACAAAGUGUGAAAUUUUCUAGCUACAGCUGAAGAUUAGAAUGUAUGUAGAAGCAAAAAAGAAAUUGCUUGCAAAGAAUAUGAGAUGGCUAAGAGAAUAUAAGUGAAGAUGGAAUUGCUCACCAAAUUGUUCGGAGUCGCAGAGUUAAAGAUUUGAUAAAAGCAAACUGAAUCAGAUAGAUAUUGAUAGAAAUCUAGCCUUAAUGAGGAAGCAACCUACUGUUGUCUAAUGGCUAAAUGGCUAUCAUCUGUAAUCAGCGACUGUGUGUUUGAUUAAAAGUAAUAUACGGUAUAGAUGAAAAUAUAUGAUAGAUACACUGGUAUUUUUACCUUGUGAAGCAAUGAUAUUCAUAUGCAAAAAGUCUGGUAAUGGUACUGUCUAGGGCAAAGGUGUGAGAACUCGAAAGUCAUUUUCACAUUUUAUUUAUCUAAUUAUUUAUUUUUAUAUUACUUGCUUUAAAUUCUUGGUUGUUUUAAUGGUUAAGUCACGAUUUUUAUCCUUUUGUCUAAUUUAAUUUGGUGUAUGUUGAGUCUUGUAGUGCAUUAUGUAAGUAUGACCAACUAAUGAGAUGUACGCAAUAAAUUUGAUAGACAAGAAGGAGUUUUGUGCAAAGUGGAUUAUGUGACAAGAAGUGUUAAGAUUUAAUUAAAGGAACACAAGAUAUGUUAGUGAUUAAAGACAAAUAGAGAGACAAAUAGAUAGAUAUUAACCUUUCUAGGUAUCCUUUGACCAAGAUUAGCUUUGUAUUUUAUCUAAGCUUUGCUUUCAUUUUACCACAAAAUUCCCUUUAUCCUUCCCUUGUCUUGGCCAAACUCUUGAGGAGAAAAAAAGAGAGAAAUCAACUUAAUUUCAAGCCUUGAUUUCUUGUUUAUUUGGUGAGACAACAAGAGUGAAACCCUAAUCUACUCCGUAGAUACUUGAGGCAAAUGCGGAAAGAAGCUUUUGGUGAAAUUCUUGGAGGAAAGAGGCUCUUGAUUUGCUUCAAAUACUAGGUUUUAAGGUAAUUUGUUAGAAAACUUCUCUUUCAUCUCUUAUCUCUACAUUUAUAUGAUAUAUGAAGUGAUAGAAGGUAAAGAGAGGAUGUUUAUGGAAGAUUUCAUUUUUUGUCAAGUUGGAUUGUAAUUUUUCAAUUUUGGUGCAAGAUAUAUGUAGUUUAGGUUAGAACUUUAUAUAUAUGUGAAAUUUUGAUAGAUUUCUUUGUCUAGAAUAUGUAUCAUUCACCCUAUGACAUGUUAUCUUGAUUGAUAGUGGAUUUGUCAUGAAAAUAGGGUUAAAAAUUGGAAGGGCUAACUAGAGGAACUUGGGGUUAUAUUGCUGCAAUUUCUUUCUUGAUUGGUCACAUGAGAGAGUGAGAGUUGAAAAGUUUAAGGUGAUUUUGAUCUACCUUUACUCGAGUUACUUGAGAAACCCUUGAUUUUCACAUAUAGGUUGGAUUUGAGCCAAAAUGAAGUGAUUUAAGAAGAGGAAAAUGAUGUUUGCCCCUAAAAGUUUUAUAGUUGGAAAUUUUCAGCUUUGAACCUCAAGACUCUUGUUACUUUUCUUCAAAAUUCUUGCCUAUAAUUAACAUAGUUUUGCUCCAUCCUAUGCUUGAGGCAUUAAGCUACCAUAUAUGUGAUUUUUGUUUGAUUUUCACAUGUAAAAGGUGUGAUUUUUGAAAACCUAUAUUAGAAUUUUGAUGGUUUUUUGUUCUAUUAUAUAUAAUCGCAGAUUUCAAGAGUGGCCAGGAAGCAGAGCUUGAUAAGUAUGUAUUUUAAAUGUUUUAAGUGUAUUUUGUUAAUUGGUUUUGGUAUGUUUUAAUUACAUUUAUAGUUUAUGAACUAAGUUUCUACUGAAAAUAUGCAUUUUAUGGUUUAAGUGGUAAAAAUUGCAUUUCUAUAAAUUUUAAUGGUGAAAUUUUCAUAUUUUUGUAGGUUUAAUUAAUGAUUCAAGAAUCAAAUGGAGUGACUUAAGAAGAAAUUUGGAUAAUUGAUGAUGGUUUCAAAUGAUAAAUAGAGAAUAUGAAGUGCAAAAAAGGAAAUGCAACCAAGAAUAAAGAAAGGAAGUUUUACAGGUUUGACACCUUAUAGUAUCUCACCCAUAUCUUGAGUUACAAGCAUUGGAUUGAAGUGAUUCUUAUACUAUUUUAAAACUAAGAGAUAUAUCUGCAUUUGGUAUGAAGAAUCGAAGUCCAAUUUAGUCGUUUCAUUUUCAAAAAAUCAAAAUACAGAAGUGCAGUUUUGUUGUGGAAAGCUAAAACAGGGGAUUGACUAGUCAAGGUUAUUUUGGUUAUUUCUCAAUCUAAAUUGGAUGAUUCUUGAUGCAUUGGAAAGUAACUCAAAGGGUUACAACUUUUAUGCUUUGUACAAGAGUUAGUUCAACUUCUAUCAUCGAGAAAAUAUCAAGGAAAAUUAGUGCAAAAAUAGAGCACGACCUUAGGUCGUGUUUUUGAGGUUGUGAAAUUCCUUUAUAAAUAGAGGACUUUGGAGAACAUUUUGAAAACUUUCGAAGGUUAGAGAAACUCCACAAAAAUGUAGUUUUCACUAAAAUUUUCUUAGUUCAUUAGUUAUGGUAGAUUAGUAUAGUUAAUGUAGUUUAUCUUUCUUGUAUUUGUAGUUAGAUUUGGAUGAAAAUUUGAGGAGAAAAGAUGGAGAAAUUGAAACUAAUGUGAUAAGGGUGACUUCUCUCCUAUCACUUGCUCUUGUAUAUUUGAAUUAAUGUUUAACUAUAAUACAAGUUUGGAUUUUGUUUUUCAUGUUUUGCUAAAAUUUAUGCCUAAACUUAUGGAUGAACUUUCUAUAUCUUAUUAGUGAUAUUUAUUUCGUUAUUUGAUGAUAUUAUUUUGAACAAGUUAUUUAUCACUUUUGCUUUUCUCAUGAUUAAUAGGCCAUUAAUUGCGAUAAUUUUAAGGUGUUAGAUUUACAAUAAAAAUUAAAAUUUAACACUAGUUCAAGGAAAUGUUAAACCUAACAAGUAUACUCACGUGAGUAGAGAUACACCUAUAUGAUUUUGGUGACCUGUUUCAUGUAAUUUCAUAAAAGAAAUGAGUUUGUAACUAAUUUCAUAACCACGAAAGUAGGUAUGACUUAGUUCUAAGUAUAGUUGAUUUACUACGAGAAUAGAUUUCACAUAUAUUAGGAAAUUACAUCAUAAUUAGUCAAGAUAAUAACAUACAAUUAACCCGUAAUUUCAUUUGUAAGAGUAGUAAGGAAUUCUAUAUCUCUAGGAGUUUUAUAUUGUUAUUUUUGUUACUUUUAUCUUAUAUUUAUAGUGUAGAUUUAAUUUUUUGCACUUAUGAUAGUCUAAAUAAUAAAGAAAUUUGAAAAUUAUUGGUAAUUGAUAAUCUUUUCUAUGGGUUCGAUCCUUAAUAUCUUAUACUCGCUCUCGACUCAUAUACUCGCAAAAAAUCGCGUAUGGGAUAUUUAAAAUGUUAUAAAUGUGAAACUUGACUGUAGAUGAGCUAAUUAUUAUAUGUAUACUCUGCGCUCAUCAGAGUCUGUGCUUGACAUUGAUAGAUCUUAAUUAGUUGGUGAGUGUACCAAUUGUAUGAUAGAACUUGUUACUUGAUUGAAAUAUUCUUUUGAUGUAAUUGAUCAAUAAUUGUCAUGAAAUCGUUGAUUGAGUGAAUGUUAUUGCAAUUCUCUUGACUUGUGGUUGGACAAGUGCGUACUUUAUUGCAUUUGCCUUAACUGAACUAAAGUACUGUGCACUAUUUGCGAGUGAAUGGAUGUUCAUGUGCGUGACUUGAAAGUAACUGUUUGGGAUCCCAAAUCCCAUCAGCUAGUUAGUCAAAUCGAGCCAGCAAGGGUUUGGUCGAGGAGAUUGACGAACCAUAGGUAGUGUUUAUUGUUUAUUCCUUUGGAAUCGGUAUACUCGAAUUUUACCUCUACUAUUAUUUUUGGAGUUCGGAUCCAACAGGAGGCUGAUCGGUGAAUGGAAAUUGGAGAUAAACAGUGCUCUAUUGAACUUGUUACUAUGUCCACAUGGUUGAUGGAGUGUCAACGGAUUCUGGACAAGUUGUUGCCCAACUAACUCGCAAGAGCAAACUGUGUCUUUAUGCGUGAAAGUAUUAAUUGUUUAUUUGACUUAUUAUUUGAAAUAUCAAUGACUUGUCUUGUGAACGUCUACUUUCUUCACUUUGAAUUGUGAUAUAUGUAAUUGCCAGUUUACUACUUCAUUUGCAUGUUAUCUUGGAACCUCACUGGAUGAAAACUCAUUCCAUUAAUUUGUUUUCCUUACAAGAGGCGAGAAUGAGAACGUGUGAGUUGACUGGAGUUUUGUCUAAAUCUUUUAUCAAUUUUCCUGGUGCACUUCUUAACUUUGUCGGUUCCGACUUGAGUUUGUUGUUGCUUUUGGUGUUGUUGUGAGUGAGUUCUGACAAAAGUUAGGCAGACAGUCUGUCAAACCUUGGGGUACGCCCUAAAGGGAGGUAGGAUCGUCACAAAAGGAACCUGUUUUUGUAGCUCACGAAUAUGAAUGACAUCAAAUAUUAGAUUUCCAGCAUGGCGAAGUAGUAGAACGUCAUGUCUUCUAACAAUGUUGUAUUCAUAAAAAGCGUCCCAUCCUUCUCCGAAUGAAUGAGUAGUAGCUGUGAUAGGCCAUUGUCGCAAUCCAAAUCUUAGAAUAAUUAUAUUGCAUCAGUGUUGAUGAAGCAAGGUUUCAAACUAAGUAGGUAAUACCUUGGAAAAAUGAGGUAGGACAAACAAUGUGAAGCAAAACCAUGCUGUACAACUCUAAAUGCUAUAAUGUAGAUGAACUUGAACAAAAAGUUAACCUAUCCUUUGUGGAUGCAUUUGAGGACAAAACAGCAGGCUAGUAAGCUGUUAUUUGCGAGAUGAAAAUUUGUUGGAGACAUAGAGAUCGUUUCUACCAUUGAACUAAUAGGAGGAAAGAUGAAGAAAUGAAAAAACAAAAAAGUACUUAGUUAAUAGAAAAUGUGAGACAAGGCCGUAUUAUCUGAUGAGGCUGGAAAUACCAAAAGAAAUGCAGCUUACUUGUUACCAAGUUCUUAUGAAGAAAAGGCAUUAGUGAAAGUGUCUGGUGUUCAAUUUUGAUUGAUGAUUCUGUAAAUGGUAAAGAGCUUAUAUAUGAAGAAUACAUUAUUGUAAAAUAGUAUAUAUUUUUCAUUGCUUUUAAUGCUAAGUGCAAGUGUUUUCCUACCAUGAGUGCAAAGAUUUAUUAGUAGUAGUAGAGGAGGUAAGGAUCAAUGAAUAAAAAAGACAAUACAAUGGCAAACAUUAAGUGCGAGUUGUCAACUGACUGCAUGUAAAGUUAUAAUCCAAUGUGCAUUUGUAAUGUUCUAUGGUCUGAUAGCAAAUUUAUAAUUCACAGUGUACUUGUCAUGUUUACUGUAUAUAUAGGUAACCAAUAAUUUGACAUAUAAGUAACAGAAGCUAAAUAUACAAGUCUUAUAUGUCAAAGAUUUUGGUUGUCACAACAAAUCAAGAAGCAUCUAUACUGAUGCAAACAUGAUGAACCCGUGCCCCUCCAAAAGAGCAAGACAAGAUGCUAGCCGAAUUUGAACUUUAACCAAACGACUCCCUAUAGCAAGGAUAAUGACAAUAAAACCCUUGCUUAACAACACUAAGCAAACGACUUUAAUAACUACGGAAAUUACUAAUGAAACUAUUAAUCGUUUAAACUAUAGGUAGUAGAACGUCACAACCAAGGAGAUACUUGAUUGAUAAGUUCACUUGAAUAAUUUGAGAAAGAUUCUCAAAUAUUCAAAGAAACUCUUUUGGAAAGAAAAAAAUGAAUAACUCACGAAAUUUUAUUGAUCAAAAACUGAUCCUGAAGGUCUCUUACUUGGGUUAUAUAUUGUCAUACAAAACUAGAAGACCUAAAGUGAAUUGGAUUCACAGUUGGUAUCAGAGCUAGUUGACAACCACCAGAUUAUAUCCUUCUUUUCUUUUGUAUCGAAUCAUAUAGUCUUGUCUUUUCAAAUCUGAUUUCGUGUGUCUUCAAAAAAAAAUAAAUAAAUCGUCAUUGUUCAUGGUUACUGUUCAUCCGCUGUUACUGUUCAUACGAAAAAAUAAUUUUUUUGGAUACGUUGUCUUGUCUCUUAUUGUUGUGUUUCUUGAAUCUUGAAUUCAUCUAAAGUCACAAAAAUUCUAAUCAUGGUUGUUCUUGGAAAUUCGAUGUUGUUUCUUGUGUUUUGUAUCAAGAUUGUGGUUGGAUUGUAUUGUUCUGAAAUUCUUGAAAUUCUUGAUAAAGAAUCUUGAAUUUCUGGAAUUUCUUGAGUAUAAUUCUUGAACUUUUGGGGUAGAAAGUUAGGGUUUCUUGGAUUCUUGAAAUCAAGAAGAUCAAAUCUUGAACUUGUGCAAAACCCCUAGUUCUUGAUUCUUGAAAAUUAAGGGUUGAUCUUGAGUAAAACAAACCGAAACAAGUUCUUGUUCUUGGAGAGUGAUCCAAUUUGAGAAGAAAGAAAAAAAAGAAUCUGACUUGUGUUACAAAAAAAAAAAAGAAAAGAAAGAAAAAAUGCAAGAAAAAAAGAGUCAAAAACAGUUUCGGACUCUCAAGAAAAAAGAAACCAACUAGAAUUGGGAAACUAGGUUGAUUGGGCUUGCAAAACAAGUUCUAGUUGCAUUCAAACUUCCAAAUUCUGAUUGGUAUCUUUUAGAACCAGAAAUUUAGCCACUAAACAGUCCACAAACAACGAAGACAUCUUGGUUACAACUCCUAAAUUUUCGACCAAGUGUAAUUGGGGUAGAGUUCCUUUAGGAUUUGGAAACUUCCGCGAUUUUGUCUUCCUUGUUUGAGUCAAAUGUAUAAUCUAUAGUUUUGUCCUUCUUUUGUUAGAAGUCUUUUUUUCCCAACAUUAACUCAUAUCUAAAGAGUCCUUAGACAAGUCCAAUUCAACUUUGUCUUGUUCCUAGUCACUAGUUUCCGUCUUGAGUCAAGAUUCAAACAUGUACUUUCCUAUUUUUUUUGGAAUAAAUUGUUCGGGCAAUAAUUUGUCAAUUUUUCCAGCCUUUCAUUUGCAUCCUUUCUAAGCCACAUUCAUCUAUUUCACUCCCAAAAAAAUUCAGCAUCAAAGACGCCACCAUCUUGUGUGUGAUCUUGAUGAAAAUUUGAUUGAGCUUUUUUGAGAAAAUUCUGAUUUCUUCAAAGAAAGCAAUCAAGAGAUUUGAGACAUGAUUGGUAAGAACAUUAGAGUGAUACACUUGAGUGAUACAUGAGUGAUGAGUGCAUACACGUGAACUUGUGGGGUGAGGAAAAAUAUUUCUUUUACUAACUUUUUGUAGGUCCUCUCAAACAUCAUGGAGGAUAAAAGACAUAUGGCAACUACCUUACAUCAUCUACCUGAUCUAAAGGAGUUGAAUAUGUGGUGUUACGCGGUGCAGAUGAGCAAUUGGACAUCAUCAAAUCAAAGCCGCAUGGUUGGUUCUAUACUCAUUGUGGAGUCAAGGAUAAGAUUUGUAACUUGGCCAUUGAUAGAAGUUGUGAAGUCAAUCUUACAAGUGCUAUCAUGGUUAAGAAAUUAAAUCUUCCAACCAUUGAUCAUCUUCAACCUUACAAGUUGCAACGAACAUCGAUGGUUUGGCAGCGAAAAUUUGACCUAAUCUAAUUCUCGAAAUAGUGAACAAUAUUGAUACUAUCUCAACCCGCGAUUUAACGAAUUAGCGAACCAAACUAUAGGUAAUAGAACGCCACAACCAAGGAGAUACUUGAUUGAUAAGUUCACUUGAAUAACUUGAGAAAGAUUCUCAAAUAUUCAAAGAAUCUCUCUUGGAAAGAGAAAAGUGAAUAACUCACGAAAUUUUAUUGAUCAAAAACUGAUCCUGAAGGUCUCUUACUUGGGCUAUAUAUAGCCAUACAAAACUAGAAGACUUAAAGUGAAUUGGAUUCACUUAAACUAGUAAUCUAAUGACCUAAGUAACUUCGGUUAGAGCAAGACAAGGUGCUGGCCGACUUUGAACUUUAACCAAACGACUCCCUAUAGCAAGGAUAAUGGCAAUAAAACCCUUGCUUAACAACACUAAGCAAACGACUUUAAUUACUAUGGAAAUUACUAAUGAAACUACUAAUAGUUUGACUCAAUAAGUUGGAGCAAAGUAAUCAAUGUGAAUUGGGUAGAUUGCAACUCUUUUGAAGGGGCACGGGUUCAUCAUGUUUGCAUCACAUACAAAGCUGGAAGGUUGAAAGCUGAUAAUAAUAAUUUUGUCUAAAAAAAUAUAAAUAAAUGAAAAGGAAUCCCAAAUUAUAUAGAUUAUAACUCAAAAGAUAUCUGUUAAGAUCCUCAAGAUGUCUAGGAUAGGGGAUUUCAGUUCAUUUUUGAAAACUUGGCAAGAACUUUGAUAUACGCAUCUAGACUGAUUUAAUGUGAACCAGAAUUAUCUUUGCUUUAAGCUAAGUGUGAACAAACUCAAGUGGAAGUUCAAGAUUCUAUAAGAAACACAGAGGAUAUAAGGGGUGGCAAGUAAACAGUAUAUUUAUUAUCAAAUUUGAUAAAUUAAAAUAACCUGAUUCAUAUGAUCAAUUGCUUUAAGAGUAGUAAAGGUGAGAAUCUUUUCUAUUAGGUCUCCAAAGAUGGAAGCUAGUAUAACUCCACUGUCAUCGCUCAAAUUAAUGUCAAAACUGCACCGGAAAGAUAAGUAUAUAGGUCCUUAGGUGAUACGUUAUAUGACAUUGAGAUUAAAAGCAAUUCAGUAGUAAAUUUAAAGUUGAUGAUUUAUUGAUAUAGGACCUAGGCAUAGCAGAGCCCUUCUCUUUGCAUGAAUUACAAGUAAACUCAAUUCCAUAGUCUGUUGCAAUAGUUUGAUAACAUUUUGUGCAACUUAUGUACCAAUAUUUUUGGAAGAUGUGUUCAAAGGAGAGCCAUGCCUUGACCCAAGCAAUCUAAAAGAUAAACAAAUAUUAGAUGAAAGGCUAAACAUAUAUGAACAAGCUAUAAGAUUACACAACAGUAUAUUAUUUAAUCAUCUUCUGUGACGGCAUAACAUUGCAAGCUAGAGUAGUUUUUUGGUCUAUUCUUAAAGAAAGUGUAGGAUUGUACUUAAUGUAACUCUUUGUAUCAAUGAUUUCUGCAAUCAACUUAGCAUACCUCAUUGCCCUACAAAAAGAAUGAUGAAAUAAGAAAAAUAAGGAAAAAAUGAUACAGUUGAUAUUGUACUACAUUAAAAAAAUGUUAUUAGAGUCAUUGUACCAAUUCUUCAGCUCUCUUGCUUCCUAUAUAGGUGGAUCAACAAGAGCUGUAGAAUCAAACCAAAUAGAGAGCGCAAUACCUAUACAAUAAACAACAGCAUAAAAUUUGAGUUAUGAGUAACAAAUUUGAUAUACAAAUAAAGACUAUAAUACAAAAAAUGACAGCAUUUCAACAGACCAUUAUAGUUGUAAACUUUCAGCCGUCAACUAAUGAUAACAGGAUUGUUUUGUAUGUUAUUUAACAAAACUUGAACUUCAUUGUUUAGAAAAUCAUCCCAUAAAGAUAGCAGGACCGUUUGGGACCUAAUAUUGACAUAGAAGUUAGGACUAAAAUGAUAUGAGACUAUAGGAAAAAGGAGAUACGACUAGUCAAAAGUGUGCAUCAUUAUUAAAAAGAGAUCAUGUACUCUUUAUUAAGGAGGACAAAAUUUUUGAACAUUGGACUGCUUAGAGUUUCUAGUGAUCGUUUUCUUGGCUAAUGAACUGAUCACCACUUCGAGCAUAUCUGCGAAGGAGAAGAAAGUUUGAAAAAACAAUGAUUGGGGAAUAAAAAGAAGAAUGAUAGAUUGUUUAGAUACUCACUGACGGACUUGCUUCUACCAUCCAUGUAUACAGCCAAAUCAGCAAAUCUAGUGAAACCAAAUUUAACUAGCAUAAUGUCUUCAUCAUCAUUGACCUUUUCAAUGACAGUUUUAGUAAUGAUCACCUACUAUUUGGUUAAUUCAGGAGUUUGAAACUUUGUCAGAAUAGACCUGACAUCAGUAUUUGAGAACUUAUAUUUUUCUAUAAACUUGCAACCUAGGACUCAUUUUUGUGUUAGUAUUGAAGAUUAUCCCUUCAACUUUAGGGCCCCAUUAGAAGAAGAAAGGUUUACACAUAACUAACAUGAUUAACAAACAAAUAAAAGAUCAAAUAAUUGAUCACUGUUUCGUGUUCUAAAAUGCAACCUCUGAAUCAUGGAAGAUAAACUUUUGUUUUUUAGUUGGUAUUCCCAUAGAAUCUGUGACUUGUUGCUUCUCUUCAACUGUGAUGAUACAAGACCAGUUUUUCAAAUUAGGCAUGACAUCCCCAAUCAACAAGCUAGACAUCCUCCAAAAAGGGAACAAAGUUCAUAAUUUACAAGCUUAUCUAUAGAUAAUGCCUUAGCGAUAAGUAAACGCAGUGAUAAAAGAAAAUUCUACUAUUGGCUUAAUUCAAAAACUUUAUUGAGCAUGAUAUUUCUAGUUUUGUAGUUUGUUUUUAUAUCAUCAAAAUUUCCUGGCACAAUAAGUAUUUUCAACUCACUUAAAUUUCUAACUAUGGACAAGGCUACGUAUAGCUGUCCAUGAGAAAAGGCAAGCUCACAUAAGUAAAUGCCACAUAGUCGAGAGUCUAUCUUUGAGCCUUAUUAAUGGUCAAUGCAAAAUAAGGUCGAAUAGGAAACCGAGUCCUUUUGAAUGCAAUGGAUUUCUUUUGAUUGUCAGUAAUUUGUAAGGGUAUUUUUAAAUAAGAAAUCUCUUUUCUCGAUGCUGGUUGAAGACAAUUUCAGCAGAAAUAGUGUGUUGGCCAAGCUCUCUACAUAUGAACCUUGUGCCAUUGCACAGGCCUUCAAGAGGAUUUAGAUUCCUCAUCAGUCUAAUUGGACAGUUUUCUUUUAACAUUAACCUGUGAGGAGGAAACCCUUUUGGAUUCUGAGAAUUAAAGAAAUCUUCAUAAUCACCCUAGUGCCGCGGAUCAACAGUUUUGUCUAAACUAAUAUAAGUGUGAAGCUUUCCAGGAAACCUUCAAAUCAUUAUAUUAUUGAGCUCAUCAACUGAACUACUUUUAAGGUCAAGAAUACAUCUAUUGAUCAUAGUAUAUGGAUUUUGGGAAUAGAGAGCUAAAUCUAGAAAAACACAGUGUAAUAACCUAUUAAUAAAGAGGUUAAAUUAGAAAUUGUACAAGUUAAAGGUUAGACAUAUAAAACAAGGCAAUAUUAAGUCAUUUAACGUAUAUAAAGUUUCUUCUCUAUCGUAAUAAGGAAUGACUAAAUCUCUGGACAAAGUUAUUUCACCGUUCAAGUCAACAGGUUAAUUUUCUUCACCAAGUCUUAAAGAGAAUUCAGAAAAUUGAGGAUAUCAUAUAGCCCACAUAUUUUCUGUCAACUUCAGUUUAUGAAGCUUAGACCACAACGGAGAAUUGAGAAAGCAUGACUGCAAAAGGACUUCCUUUGUUGCUUGCUCAAUCAUAGGUAGUGUCUGCUGAAAAUCCCUACCAAGUACAACAACUUUGCCUCCAGUAGGUAGAUUAGAUUCCAUUAUAUCUCUAAGUAAAUCAUCAUGUGCCUUAACAAUUUCUUGUUUAGCCAUGAAAGCCUCAUCCCAUAAGAUUAGUUUAAACUCUAAGAGCAGCUUUGCAACAUGCCUUACUAAGCUUGCAAGUUUUGUUCUUUAAAAAUCAAGGGGUAUCUUAAAUCUUGAGUGUAAAGUUCUUCCUCGAAGAAGAAUAGAUGCUAGAAUUUCAAAGGUCGCCACUGCAAUGGCUAUAUGACAUUGCGAUAUCAAAGUAGCAAGCAACAACCGAUAUAAAAUGUUAAAAAAAAAAUGUCCUUAUGAAGAGAAACAUACUUGUAGGAUCAAGUCAUAAGCAUACUUUUGCUGGGAAUUGAAUUUCAAUGACAUCAGUAGAUCUUUCGACCGUAUGUCUAUGUUUCUUUCAGCUUCUAUCUUCUUUGUUAGGUGUGCUUGAUAUACAUUUACAAGAUCAUCUGAUGGUAAUUGAUAGGUAGCAAUGCUUGUACUCAUCUGCUGAAGCGAUCUAUUAAUAUCAGCUAGAACCAAUACCCUAAUUUCAGUGGGAGGGUAAUCACAAUAUUGUCUAUGCCGCUCAUAGUCUCUAGAGAAGUCAAAUUCAAAAUUUUUUCAUAACAUUAUGGGAUCAAUUGGAGAACAAUGAACCAAAAAAGUAGCAAAUAACAAUCUGAGUGAACAUGGCAUCUGAAAUGCAGCGGCUUCCACAAGUGUUUCUUCUAUAUAUAUAUUAGAUUGCAAUAGUCCAAGUGCUAGAGUAGCCUCUCUGAAUGACUUCAUCUUUCUAUCGUUGACAGUUAAGAGAUCAUCGAAUGAAGUCGGUCCAAGAAUAUAAGUUAAGAGAAGUCUUAGAUAGUACCUCUUUCUCUCUUUGGAUUAACACUAACAAGUCUACCUAUUACCUUUCAACACUUUCUUUCGGUCCAGAGCUUAUAUUUAGAAGAUCAAACAAAAUGCUGAGGAAAUCUCUAUAAAAGCAUUUAAGCUUUUUAGUUGUUGCAUUGGUUGUAUUCAUUUUGAAAAACUCAAUUAACAUGAAUUUUGAAGAAUCUGCUUUUUCUAACAAUUGCAGCAAAUCUGAGUUCACGUCAAAAGACACAAGUUGCUGACUUGAAAAGUGAACUUCAAAAGCAUAAAUAGAUUGGGGUCAUGUCAUUAAAACAGAACUCAUAGAUUCAUCAAAAUGCUUUUGGAGGUGAAACAUAUCUACCUUUCUAGAACUCUUUAAUCUCAUGAAUAUUAACAGUGUUAUCAUCUAUCAGAUUCUAAAGCAGAUCAAAUCAUGCUCUUUAAAUACAUACUUAUACAAGUGCUUGACAAGCUUAAUGAUAGAAGAAAUCCCACGUUCAUGUGCCAAUCAAAUACAGUAAGAAGAUAAGGGUUGUAAGGCACCACCCACCAAUUAUCAAGGGUAAAUCUGUGCACUUUCCCUCUCCUGUCAUCAUUCCUUCUUCUAUAAUAUGAGUUACUAUGUUCAAUAUGAUUUGUACAGGGGCAAAAAUUUUUUAGAGAGUGAUUCUUGCAGGCACCGUCUUUCAUACAAGGACAAGUUUUAUCCAUGUCUCCACAAGGACCGUGGAUCAUAUGUUUUACAACAAAAGAGUACAUGAGAGACUAUUGAAUACGAUCAAGUAAUUCAACACAAACCAUUCUGUCAUAUGACUCUUGAUUAAGUAACUUAAAUUGAGGCUUUAAAAGGAGCAGCAAAUGAGCAUGUGAAAAAUCCCCAUUUUUAAAACUCAAUGACAUAGACACAUGUUGGCAGCUCACCAAAAAUCUGCUUAUUCAAAAGUUCAUACUUAAGCAUUUCAAAUUUAACUCUAAAAACACUAACUAAAAGAUCGGGUCUAUCCUAUGGCUUCUUAUGAUAUUUCAGAUUGGAUUGAAUUUCUUUUCAUGCUUGAUUGUAGAUCAUGGUAAGAAAAAUUUUUAAUUUAUCAUAUUUUUGUAUCAGUGUCAUUGCAUCAAGAUAGCGGCGCCUCAUGUCCCUGGGACCACUUACAAAGAAAGCAGGUAACACUAUCCUGUUGUCACAGGUUGCAUAAAUUCCUAUAAGCACUCGCACAUGUAGCACUAGCAGUUGUCCAAGACUCUAGCUAUGAAGGUCUUGCUAGUUCAGCCUAAAUACCUAAAUGCGGGAGAGUUGUGCAGAAGUGUAAAAGUAGUAGACAAAGAGAGAAGUGUUGGAGGUUAAGGAAAGCUUGUAUUUUUCUUGAACAAAUGUUACAAAGUAUUUUACAAAUGAAGAGGUUUGGCCUUUUUAUAGGCAGGCCAAGAAAGUCAUACAAAAUCCUAAAAAGCUCUACACAUAUCUUCCUACACUUAGUCUUUAGAAGUUUCUAUACAAACCUAUGUUAUUAUGUACAAGCUCUAGACUUCCAUCUGUGACGACCCCACCUCCACCUAAGGCGUACCAAAGGGUUCGGCAGACCGCCUGCCCAGCUCUCGCCAGGACUCACUCACUAUCUCAAUCGAGUCAUGUACACACAUCCAUGAACCAUAAAUAACAUUCACAAUUCAAGCUUAUAAUUUACAUUGAUAGAAAUCGAGGUACAAAGCCUCAAUACACCAAACUAGUUCAAAAUGUAUACAAUCCAAGUACAACAUGUUCCAUUCGAGGAAUAGCGCGAGUACAAGUCAAAAGUCAAAACAAUUUCAAGAGCAACUAGACUACGCUAGUCUGUUCACGACUCACGCCUCACUCGUAUUCCUGCAAGGAAAACAAAUAGCGUGGAAUGAGCUAAAAGCCCAGUGAGGUUUCAAAUAACAAAUUGCCCAUUUUAAAAGUAUGAAUAUCCAUGUAGCAAGUUAACGGCAUCAAAACUCAUAAGAGUGGACAAUAAUAUUUCAAGUAGCAAAUUUCCAAAUGAGCACGUAUAAAGUGCUUUUUCGAUUUUCAAAAGGAACAGCAAUCCAAUAAGCAAUAAUCACUUUCAAGUAUAAGGAUACGGAAGGCUCUCAGGAGCCAAAUUUCCAUUGCAUCUCCAGAGCUUGAUCAAGUAACAGUUGACACUCCGUCAACUUUCAAGUAGGUAACCAAUCCAGUAGAACACCACUUACACGACUCUCCGUCCACCGUUCACCCCCUACUGGGCCCAAAAUCCUCAAUAAACACGUGUGGUAAUACUCGAGUAUACCGUUUAGCCGAGGAGAUAUCACUCCACUCGACAAAACAAGAGACCCAGGGUUCGUUACCCAAUCGACCAAGCCCUUGCCGGCUCGACUCAAGUAACUUGCCGCAGGGUUUCUGGAAUUCCAGGAAGUGCGCGCACCACAAUCAAGUAUAUCAAGUCAAUUGCAAUCCAUAAACAAGUACAAGUCACGUAAGGGCAAGUGCGAUAAAGUACACUCUUGCCCUAUCAAUUCACGUAUAUAACAUGUACUCAUAUUGGUCACGUAUCAAGUUCAAGUAUCAAGUUCAAUUCGGUAUUUGAAAGCACUCACCAAAAGAUAUAGUGCUUCAAGUAUUCACGUUCAAUUACACUCCAGGCUUGGAGUCCAGAUCUGCGAUAAAAAUUCCAGUUUGAGAACUUUGAAACACGAGUCGAAUUCGAAACGUUAACAUUCCAUUCAUUAAAAAUCGACCAAUUGAAAUUCAUUUGAAAGACACUCGCGAAACACUUGCUCGCUUUUCAAAUCAUAAGGUUUUGUAGCAUAAAUACUUGGAAAUAACACUUGAGUUGAAAGUACAUGGAAAUACAAGUUUACAUUGGCCAUUAAGUCUUUUCCUCAAGGUACGAGCUCGACCAAGUCUUAACAUAUAACACUCAAGAAACAUAGUAGCAAAGGUCUUUACUAGUUCAAGUGAUAAAUACUUAACCGUCACUCAAGUCGCUAAUAUAGUCGCUAAUAUAGUAAAAAUUCGGGCAGCAUGCCCUUUGUGUUUACCUAAUUUUCCAGCCUUUUAGGCUUCAUUGUUUUUCUCAAACACAACCCAACAUUAUACAUAUCAGCAAUUCAUGUCAAGAGCCGUUCCAUAGGCUCACAAUAUCAUAAUAACAAGAAUCGUAUUAAGUACAAGUGCAGAAAUUCAAUUUAGUUCAAAACAGAUUUGACGUACAAAUGCGGAAAUAACAUAUCCGAGGUUACGCUUAUCGGAUUAAAAUGAAACCUAUGCCGUUUCGAAGCUAAGAUACAGAGCUACAAUAUUCAUGAAGGUCACUUAGUCCAGUUUCUAAUGUAACUUGGUCAAAUUCUCGAAUUACUAAACCAGAAACUAAUUCGUCGGCUGUUUAAACGCAGAACACUGUAAUGAACAUAACUCAGUGUACAAAAAUCCAAUUCAGGUGUUCUUAGAGGAAUUUUAAAGCUACUUCAGAACACUACAACUUUCAUGAAGAGCACUCAGUCAAAUUUUCAAUGUAACCUGAUCAAAUUCCCAACUCAUGUAACCUGGUUUCAACUAUUCGGCUAAUCAGCCGCAUUUCACUCACAUGACCAUAUCUCAGUCUACCAAGAUCCAAUUAAGGUGUUCUUGGAGGCGUUACGAAGCUAAGACAGGGUAAUAAAACUUUCAUGUUUCGGUGAAAGGCUAAAUCUAAACGGAUCAUAGUGAAUAAACUCAAUCAAAAGGACUGAACUGUCCACGCGGAAUUCUGGAAAGUGACCUAGAUCAGCGAGGGUAUUUUCGUCUUUUCACAAGCUACGAUGCUCCAAAUGAGCUGAAAUUUUGUGGGCACCUAUAAAAUACCAUUCUGAACAACUUUCAUGUUUUGACCAAAGGCCAAUUAGGCCUCUAACAUAGGGCUACAAAAACGGGCAGAAUGGAAGAACAAUUUUCCAGAUUUCUGGGAUUUUCAGUUUUUAAUGUAACUUUCCUCAAUUUCUUGUUCUAAUCACUACCAAAACCCUUUAUAUAACCUUAAUUACAACAUAUGUGAGUCACACAUCAAGUUUGGCAGCAAAUCCCCAAAACCCUGAUUUGAUUAUUUCAUCCAAUAAUCAUCACAAUCACUUGCUCAUCUUGAAAUCAAGCCAAAACUUAAGCUAAAUAACAUCUUAACACAAGAUUUAAAAGAUCAAGGACCAUGAUCAGAUUGAAUACCUCAAAAACAAGGCUUGGAUGAGUGAUAGUUCACUUCCUUUGAAAUUUCUUGGUUCCUUAGCUUCCCAAGCUUCCAAACUUGCAAUCAAUCGGUUUAGAUUUCUAGCUUAGCACUUGGUUGGUGUGAAUCAAGAAGGAAUGUGGUUGCUCAAGCUCUCACUUCUCUCUCUCUCUUGGUCGGCUGGAAUGAUGCAGAAAUGGAAGGAAAUGAAGCUAAGUUUGUCUUAUAAGAAGAUGGAAAGAUAAGAAUUAAUUCUAGCCACAAGUUUGGCUAACACUUGGUUUAAUCUCAACCACAAAAUUUUCUCUUUCUUCCUUGCAUUUUCUAACUUCAAUUUCUUGGUCAAAUCUGAUGUUAAUUAAGGAGAUAUUUUAUCCAAGAGUCAAUAAGUUUGUUUGGUAAGAAAAAUGGUAGGCAAGUGGUGCGUUCAAUCGGUAGUGCGCGGGACCCGUCGGUUCGCGCCGUUUUUCUUAAAAACUCACGUACUACUGUUUUUUUUCUUCCCAUUCACUAACCUUAUAUCAUUGCUACUACUCACAUAUUAUUUCUCACUUAAAAGUCACUUUUAAUCUCCAAAUUUAAUCCUUACUUUGUACCGAAAAUUCAUCCGGUGAAAAAUUGCGAAAACCCUAAUUUUACUCCGAUCUUAAAACCAAAGGUGAAAACCUACUUUCUAGGUUCAUUUACACUUAUCGUGGAAUAAAUGGGGUAGCAAGCCUUAAUAAAAAUAAUAAUUUCCAAAUAAAGGGACAUUUUUAAAAUAACAUGAGGGAUUUUCCAAUUCCAUAAAUUGAAUUUAGAGUUUCUAUUAAAAGAUGAGAUAUUGAAGGAAACCAGUUAAUCACAAGUAAACUAGGGUUUUUGAUUAAAAUUUUAGGGUUUCUAAUCUUUUUAAAACAAAAUAAGGUUUUAAAUCAAACCCAAAGAAAUACACUUUAGUAUCUUAUUUACAAACAAUCUCCUAAUUUUCGGGGCGUCACACUCUCCCCUCCUUAAAAGAAUUUCGUCCUUGAAAUUCAUACAUGCACCUCGAAAUAAUGUAGGGUAUUUUCCUUAUAUAUUCAUUUCCAGCUCUCAGGUUUCACUAUAGUCAAUAUUUGGUUAAACAAUAGUAAACACGAAUCGUACCUUCUACUAUCUCCAAUGGUUCAGGUAAAGCCUGUUGAUCCAGGGAGUACAUUCUAGCUGGCACUCUUGACUUAGACCCUUCUAAAUCAUAGGCAAUAUAACACAUUUAAUCAAAACAAGUCGCAUAACUUAUAGAGCAUUAAUCUUACGUAUCACUCAGGUACUACACUUAAUCAAGGCUCGUAACACGUGGAUAAGAAGGAUCCCAAAUCCCAUGAAUAUCUUCAAUAUAUUUCACGUCCAUACUAUUCACAUUCCCCGUGCCUUUGCUUUCACAAUCCAAAUUUAUCUCAAUAUUACGUGAGAUCUCAGCUUAUCGUAAAGGUGUCACUCUUUGGUAUUCGGGGACAAGAAUCCACAAUAAGGUAAUUCACAACUCGAGCCGGCCGGUCCCAAGAGUAAAUCACCCGAAUUAGAGAUUCCUACCCAGCAUACAUAUCUAAAAUCUCCAACAAUAGACAAUCGUUCCACACUUAACAAGUCAAUCCCCACAGUCCGAGAACCUUCUCCCGGCACGAGCUCAAUAGGAGCUCUGAUACCAUCUGUGACGACCCCACCUCCACCUAAGGCGUACCAAAGGGUUCGGCGGACCGCCUGCCCAGCUCUCGCCAGGACUCACUCACUAUCUCAAUCGAGUCAUGUACACACAUCCAUGAACCAUAAAUAACAUUCACAAUUCAAACUUAUAAUUUACAUUGAUAGAAAUCGAGGUACAAAGCCUCAAUACACCAAACUAGUUCAAAAUGUAUACAAUCCAAGUACAACAUGUUCCAUUCGAGGAAUAGCGCGAGUACAAGUCAAAAGUCAAAACAAUUUCAAGAGCAACUAGACUACGCUAGUCUGUUCACGACUCACGCCUCACUCGUAUUCCUGUAAGGAAAACAAAUAGCGUGGAAUGAGCUAAAAGCCCAGUGAGGUUUCAAAUUACAAAUUGCCCAUUUUAAAAGUAUGAAUAUCCAUGUAGCAAGUUAACGGCAUCAAAACUCAUAAGAGUGGACAAUAAUAUUUCAAGUAGCAAAUUUCCAAAUGAGCACGUAUAAAGUGCUUUUCGAUUUUCAAAAGGAACAGCAAUCCAAUAAGCAAUAAUCACUUUCAAGUAUAAGGAUACGGAAGGCUCUCAGGAGCCAAAUUUCCAUUGCAUCUCCAGAGCUUGAUCAAGUAACAGUUGACACUCCGUCAACUUUCAAGUAGGUAACCAAUCCAGUAGAACACCACUUACACGACUCUCCGUCCACCGUUCACCCCCUACUGGGCCCAAAAUCCUCAAUAAACACGUGUGGUAAUACUCGAGUAUACCGUUUAGCCGAGGAGAUAUCACUCCACUCGACAAAACAAGAGACCCAGGAUUCGUUACCCAAUCGACCAAGCCCUUGCCGGCUCGACUCAAGUAACUUGCCGCAGGGUUUCUGGAAUUCUAGGAAGUGCGCGCAUCAUAACAAGUAUGUCAAAUCAAUUGCAACAAUAAACAAGUGUAUAUCAUGUAAGGGCAAGUGCGAUAAAGUACACUCUUGCCCUAACAAUUCACGCAUGUGACAUGUAAUCAUAUUGGCACGUAUCAAGUACAAGUAUCAAGUUCAAUUCAGUAUUUGAAAGCACUCACCAAAAGAUGUAGUGCUUCAAGUAUUCACGUUCAAUUACACUCCAGGCUUGGAGUCCAGAUCUGCGAUAAAAAUUCCAGUUUGAGAACUUUGAAACACGAGUCGAAUUCGAAACGUUAACAUUCCAUUCAUUAAAAAUCGACCAAUUGAAAUUCAUUUGAAAGACACUCGCGAAACACUUGCUCGCUUUUCAAUCAUAAGGUUUUGUAGCAUAAAUACUUGGAAAUAACACUUGAGUUGAAAGUACAUGGAAAUACAAGUUUACAUUGGCCAUUAAGUCUUUUCCUCAAGGUACGAGCUCGACCAAGUCUUAACAUAUAACACUCAAGAAACAUAGUAGCAAAGGUCUUUACUAGUUCAAGUGAUAAAUACUUAACCGUCACUCAAGUCGCUAAUAUAGUCGCUAAUAUAGUAAAAAUUCGGGCAGCAUGCCCUUUGUGUUUACCUAAUUUUCCAGCCUUUUAGGCUUCAUUGUUUUUCUCAAACACAACCCAACAUUAUACAUAUCAGCAAUUCAUGUCAAGAGCCGUUCCAUAGGCUCACAAUAUCAUAAUAACAAGAAUCGUAUUAAGUACAAGUGCAGAAAUUCAAUUUAGUUCAAAACAGAUUUGACGUACAAAUGCGGAAAUAACAUAUCUGAGGCUACGCUUAUCGGAUUAAAAUGAAACCUAUGCCGUUUCGAAGCUAAGAUACAGAGCUACAAUAUUCAUGAAGGUCACUUAGUCCAGUUUCUAAUGUAACUUGGUCAAAUUCUCGAAUUACUAAACCAGAAACCAAUUCGUUGGCUGUUUAAACGCAGAACACUGUAAUGAACAUAACUCAGUGUACAAAAAUCCAAUUCAGGUGUUCUUAGAGGAAUUUUAAAGCUACUUCAGAACACUACAACUUUCAUGAAGAGCACUCAGUCAAAUUUUCAAUGUAACCUGAUCAAAUUCCCAACUCAUGUAACCUGGUUUCAACUAUUCGGCUAAUCAGCCGCAUUUCACUCACAUGACCAUAUCUCAGUCUACCAAGAUCCAAUUAAGGUGUUCUUGGAGGCGUUACGAAGCUAAGACAGGGUACUAAAACUUUAAUGUUUCGGUGAAAGGCUAAAUCUAAACGGAUCAUAGUGAAUAAACUCAAUCAAAAGGACUGAACUGUCCACGCGGAAUUCUGGAAAGUGACCUAGAUCAGCGAGGGUAUUUUCGUCUUUUCACAAGCUACGAUGCUCCAAAUGAGCUGAAAUUUUGUGGGCACCUAUAAAAUACCAUUAUGAACAACUUUCAUGUUUUGACCAAAGGCCAAUUAGGCCUAUAACAUAGGGCUACAAAAACGGGCAGAAUGGAAGAACAAUUUUCCAGAUUUCUGGGAUUUUCAGUUUUUAAUGUAACUUUCCUCAAUUUCUUGUUCUAAUCACUACCAAAACCCUUUAUAUAACCUUAAUUACAACAUAUGUGAGUCACACAUCAAGUUUGGCAGCAAAUCCCCAAAACCCUGAUUUGAUUAUUUCAUCCAAUAAUCAUCACAAUCACUUGCUCAUCUUGAAAUCAAGCCAAAACUUAAGCUAAAUAACAUCUUAACACAAGAUUUAAAAGAUCAAGGACCAUGAUCAGAUUGAAUACCUCAAAAACAAGGCUUGGAUGAGUUAUAGUUCACUUCCUUUGAAAUUUCUUGGUUCCUUAGCUUCCCAAGCUUCCAAACUUGCAAUCAAUCGGUUUAGAUUUCUAGCUUAGCACUUGGUUGGUGUGAAUCAAGAAGGAAUGUGGUUGCUCAAGCUCUCACUUCUCUCUCUCUUGGUCGGCUGGAAUGAUGCAGAAAUGGAAGGAAAUGAAGCUAAGUUUGUCUUAUAAGAAGAUGGAAAGAUAAGAAUUAAUUCUAGCCACAAGUUUGGCUAACACUUGGUUUAAUCUCAACCACAAAAUUUUCUCUUUCUUCCUUGCAUUUUCUAACUUCAAUUUCUUGGUCAAAUCUGAUGUUAAUUAAGGAGAUAUUUUAUCCAAGAGUCAAUAAGUUUGUUUGGUAAGAAAAAUGGUAGGCAAGUGGUGCGUUCAAUCGGUAGUGCGCGGGACCCGUCGGUUCGCGCCGUUUUUCUUAAAAACUCACGUACUACUGUUUUUUUUCUUCCCAUUCACUAACCUUAUAUCAUUGCUACUACUCACAUAUUAUUUCUCACUUAAAAGUCACUUUUAAUCUCCAAAUUUAAUCCUUACUUUGUACCGAAAAUUCAUCCGGUGAAAAAUUGCGAAAACCCUAAUUUUACUCCGAUCUUAAAACCAAAGGUGAAAACCUACUUUCUAGGUUCAUUUACACUUAUCGUGGAAUAAAUGGGGUAGCAAGCCUUAAUAAAAAUAAUAAUUUCCAAAUAAAGGGACAUUUUUAAAAUAACAUGAGGGAUUUUCCAAUUCCAUAAAUUGAAUUUAGAGUUUCUAUUAAAAGAUGAGAUAUUGAAGGAAACCAGUUAAUCACAAGUAAACUAGGGUUUUUGAUUAAAAUUUUAGGGUUUCUAAUCUUUUUAAAACAAAAUAAGGUUUUAAAUCAAACCCAAAGAAAUACACUUUAGUAUCUUAUUUACAAACAAUCUCCUAAUUUUCGGGGCGUCACAGCCAUCGUCCCCGAUGCCUAGCUAUCCUCAUAUACCCGUAGGACGUUUUUAAAUUAUCACAAUUUUUUAGUCAGUUCCCAACUAAUCUUAGCCUCGAAUAACCCACGCUAUCGCACCAAAUACUCUUUAGAUGGUGCGCGAUUAUUGUGUCGAAUGAUAUAAUUGGCAACGAUCUCCUCGGCAACCUUAUUGUAUUCCUCCCUUGUAGUGCGCGGGUGCCCUCGUUGACACGCUGUUUGGAAAAUCGUGUGAGUUUUGAUAGAAUGGAUUGAAUAGGCUCACAUGAAAGAUCGAUUGAAGUUGGGAUAGGGCAUUGAACAACUCCAUCUUGUAGGCCACGUUUCCUAUCCUCUUUAACACUGUAACGGUUUUUCAUCGUCAUAUUAGACCCUUGUGCACCCCACGAAUACGUCCAUAUUGAUAGAGUUUCACCAACACUUGAUCCCCCUCCUUGAACUCGCGGAACCUAUAUUUACGGUCGGCCAACAUUUUCAUAUGCUGCUGGGCUUUUUCAAGAAAAACUUGGCUAUUUUCAUGCAUUUUUGUCAAUCUAUAGCAAACCGGUAUGCGGGAGGACUCGCAUCCUUGUAGCUACCAACAAUAUCCUUCGGGGUCAUCGCUGAAAUCCAUGCACGAUCUCAAACAGACUCUUGUCAGUGCUCUCAUUUUUUUGCAAAUUAAAGUAGAAUUGGGCAACGUCCAACAGUUUAACCUAAUCCGCUUGGUUCACCGUCACAUAAUGCCAGAGGUAGAUCUCUAGCAUAUUGUUUACACGUUCCGUCUAUCCAUCCAUUUGUGGAUGCAUUAUUAUUGACAUGUUGAGUCUCGAACCAAGCAAACGGGAUAACUCCAUCCAGAACCUGCCCAUAAACCGCUAAUCCCGAUCGCUAACGAUUAUUGCCUGCAAGCCCCAAUACUUGAUGACAUGGCCCAUAAAGAAUUUCAUCAUUACUUCAGUCAUGUGCUCUUUUAGGACGGGAACGAACGUAGUAUAUUUGAAUAACCAAUCCAUAAUCAUGAAUAUGCUAGUACACCCCUAUGAUUUCGACAAUUCGACUAUAAAAUUCAUAGAAAUGCUCUCCCAUAUGUUCCUUGGGAUUGGCAGCGGUUGCAAUAGUCGAGCUGGCAGCUCGUUUUCUACCUUAUCUUAUUGGCACACUAGACAAGUCUGUAGGUACUCGUCGACAUCGUCUCUUAGAUUUGGCCAAUAAUAACAUUCUCGUACUAGAGGCAAAUGCGAUGAGUGUUUGGAUGACCAGAAUACCGAUUAUUGUGAUAUUUCUUGAUGUCCCUUCUCAAGUGUUCCCAAUUAGACUCGUAAAUCCACUGGCCCUUAGUAUAGAGGACCCCAUCCUCCAUCCAAAAUCUCUUCGUUUUCCCCUCAUUUGCUAGCUUUAUGAGUGCUUGCGCCCAAUCGUCAUGCUACAGUCCCUCCUUGAUAUGCUCCACGAGCAGUUUUUCAGUCGUGUAUGUAGGUGUGACAACGCUUUUGUGAUUUAGGGCAUUGGUCAUGACAUUUGUUUUGCCUGGGCUACACUUGAGCUCGUAUUUGAAUUCUAGUAGAUAACAACCAUUUUACUUACUUGUUUGAGAGCUUCUUUUACAAUUGAUGGUAGUUCAUCGUCUUAUUAUCCAUUUUGAUCUUGAAUGGUGUGACAGCCUUGAGAUAGUGCUCCCAAAUUCAUAAACAAUACACGACCUCUAAUAUUUCCUUCUCAUGCGUCGGCCACCGUUUUUCAACGUCGCUAAACAUAUGAUUCUCAUAAGUAAUAAGGUGAUCAUCCUGCAUCAAUACACCACUAACGGCUAAGUCGGAUGCUUCAGUGUGUAUCUCAAACGAUUUGUCAAAAUUGGGCAGUGUUAACACCAUCUCUUUCAUCACAGCAUCCUUCAACUUCUUGAAUGCUGCUUGGUACUCGGGUGUCCAUGUCCAUGUUUUGUCUUUACGUAGAAGAUCGGUUAGUGAAGCAGCAAUAGCUAAGAACCUUGCGAUGAACUGUGGGUAGUAGUUCACUAGCCUAAGAAAUGAUUACAAAUCCGUGGAUGUCUUUGGUGCCUCCUAAUCCACGAUGGCUUUGAUCUUUUGGGAAUCCAUACGGAUCCGUCCGUGCCUCACGAUAUGCCCUAAGAAGGAGAUUUGACGUAGGCCAAACUUGCAUUUCUCGUUCCUCACAUACAAUUUGUUGACCCAUAAUGCUGUGAACACUUGUCUCAAGUGGCGAACAUGCUCUUCCAAUCUAUUAAUAUAUAGAUGACGAUGUCGUCGAGAUAGACCACGACGAACUUGUCUAAAAACUCCUUUAGUACCUUUUGCAUGAUAUGGCUGCUGCAUUUGUCAAUCCGAACGACAUCACGUUGAACUCGUACGACCCAUACCUGGUGAUGAUAGUCGUUUUGGACUCGUCCUCUACUUUAAUCCUCACUUGAUAAUAUCCCUUGCAUAGGUCAAGUUUGGACAUGAUUUUCAAUGAUUGUAGACGGUCGAAUAAGUCCAUGAUUAGGGGUACGGGAUACUUGUUUUUCACCAUUAUCUUGUUGAGUGCUCGAUAAUAGCUAUACAUAUGCAAGGUGCCGUCUUUUUUGCAUUGAAAGAGUACGGGUAUACCAACGGGGCUCUUGAAAGGUAUAGCAUUAGACUCCAAAAGUUCUCCAAAUUACUUCUGUAACUCCUCUAACUUCUCGAGCGACAUGCGAUAUGUCAAAUAGGAGACCGGUUUAGUGUCUUUCACCAAUUUUAUAGCGUGAUCCACAGCAAACUAGAGGAACCUCUUUUGAUAGGUCCUCGAGCAUCACGUUUUCAAAUUUCGCUAAGACUUUCUCGAUUUCGAGUAAAAUUGGCACCGUUUCUUUAGACUCACAUGUCGGCGAGUUUUCUUCACUAAGGAUGGCCGCAAUCAUCGGUUCACUCAUUCGCAAGCCCCUCUUAAAUUGAGGGAAUUCAACUCCUUCUUAUGACAUACGUUUGCUAUGCAUGGUUGGCCUUCUUACUUAAUGAGUAUUGUAUCUUCAUGCGGCACCAUUAUUGGUUUCAAGUAGUCUAUGAAACGCAUGUAAAAGAAUACCUUAUAAUCGUCAAUCAGGACAAUAUAGAAGUUGGCCAUACUUGUCCAUUAACCCAUGCUAAUGGGUACUUCCUUGAUUUCACCCACAAGCGAUGUCUACUCCCUGUUCACACCUUUGAAAUGACUUGACGCUAGCGCCCAUGUAAGCCCCAUCUUGCAUUCGACGUCUUGGCUCAUAUGGUUGACGUAUGCUCCCGUAUCAAUCAAUAUCAUCACUUAAUGCCUAUUGAUGUUAGCGUCUAUGUACAUACACUCUUUAUCUUGAUCGUUGACUUUGGCAUGCAUGACUCCCAGUAGCCAUGUGUACGCGACCCUUUGUAUCUCUAUCGGGCCUGCUUCUUGUGUGAUGGCUACUAAAUUGCCACGACUUAGGCAUUCAUAAGCAUAGUGCUCCUUACUCUCGCAGAUGAAGCACCUUUCAAAAUUUUUCCCCAACUUAUAGUUAUUCACGUGCUUUCUCUUUUGUGACUUGUUGUUGUUGAUGUUACCUGAUCUCUGGGCAAAUCUUAGCUUGUCUCUCCCACUCUUUAUGUUGUACAGUUUCUUGCCUUUGUCCUUGGCUGGUUCCUUCUGUUGAAACUCUAUCAGCCUUUAGGCAGUUUUUUAUGACUUGGGAGACAUUCUAUGGAUCCUUGUCUUCCACCUGUUGUUUAGCCUAUGGCCUUAGGUCAUCUAGAAACAUGAACAGCUCGUUUUUUAGUGCCAUGUUAGGAAUUUCCAACAACAAGUUGGAGAAUUUAUCGAUAUACUCCUUCAUAUGCUCGUCCUUAUGUUGGAAAUGACAGAAUUUGGCCCUUGUCUCAUGCUUGACAUUGACCGGAUCAAAUUCGACCUUCAACUCGGCCUUGAAUAUGCCCCAUACAGUAAUGGCAUCGUCCCCAUGUUACCCUUUGUUGCACUUCCGUUUCCACCAUAUCAGUGCGAAAUCUUUAAGAUAUAACCGAGUCAUCCUCAAGCAAGCAUCAUCCCUCAUGAUACCUAGAGCCUCGAAGUACUGCUCAAACACGUAGAGAAAAUUCUCGAUUUCUCACGCCUUCCUCUCUCUUUUUAAGCUUCUAGAUGUGGACGUCUAUCCUUGGUGCAGUUACGGUCGCACCUACUAUCCCUUACGCUGUAACACGUCAACCUUGGCCCUUAACUUGGUAAACUCCUACCAAAUGGCUGAUGACUCUCCCAUGGGCACCCUAACACCCUAUGCUAGUUGAGUCUUGUACGACUCCAACUCACCCUUGAGUUGGACGAUCUUCUCAUGUAAAAACUCAACUAAGUCCCAAAUAGUAUCGUUCCCCUUCACUAGUUGGUCUAUGGCCUCAUUGAGUACACCUUGCAUGCCCUCACCGUCCAGCUGCUCCUUGCAUUGGUCUAGCUCGUCCCACCGGUCGUGAUGAUCAGUUACGGUUAGCUCCCCUCUUACUAACCUUGAUUCCAGAGCUGUCAUUGAGUCUGGUAUGGCCAACUUGUCUCUCUUGCCCUUACCACGAGUAGGAGCGGCUUUAUCUAAUUUUCUCGCGACAUGCUCCUCAUGCGGUUCCUUUGUGACGUCUGAAGCUGUUGCCAUCAUUCCAUGACUUUGUGAUGGUAUCAAGCUCUGAUACCAUUUAUCAUAGGCUGCUUAAAUUCCUAUAAGCACUCACUUUGUACGGUACUAGCAGUUGUCCAAGACUCUAGCUAUGAACGCCUUGCUAGUUCAACCUAAACGCCUACGUGCAUGAGAGUUGUGUGGAAGCGUAAAAGUAGUAGACAAAGAGAGAAGUGUUGGAGGCUAAGGAAAACUUGUAUUGCUCUUGAACAAAUGUUACAAGGUGUCUUACAAAUGAGGGGGCUUGACCUUUUUAUAGGCAAGCCAAGAAAGCCAUACAAAGUUCUAAAAAUCACUACACUAUGUCUUCCUACAUUUAGUCUCUAGAAACUUCUAUACAUGCAUACAUUCUUAUGUAAAAACUCAAGACUUCUCCAAGAGCAAUCUGGAAGCCUCUAAGACUUGCUACACACUUCUACUAGUGUUUGGAGUAGCCUCCAUGCUUUGGAUAAACCCCCAUGGCUUGCCAAGUAUUUGGGGGAAUAGAGUGUGGGUCUACUAGCAGCCCUAGUUUUUCUGCCAAGACACUAUAUACGACAAUGCAUGGCUGGGCCGGCCAGAUACGGUCGCUUGCGGUUGAUGUGCGGACUGUGUCACUAUGACCAACUUUAGAAUCUUUAAUUUAGCCUAAAGAGACACUGUCCAAUAUCUCUUGAAGAAUUUCUGACCUAACUAUAUUUUAUCAAUAUCUAUGAAAGUCUAGCCUAGAAGUUUCUAUCUUGACAUAGGAAUCAACCGAAAACUAUUGUAAUAGUUUAAGGUAGUGCAGCAGCAUUGACUCAUCACUAUCUCUCAUUUGAAACCUAUAACAAAAAUACUCUCUAGCUGAUACUGUGUCCUCUUCAUUCUUUCCACGAUCGAGAAUUGUAUAGAACAAAAGAAAACUAUCAAACUAAAGUAGAAAAGGUUAUAAUGUUCACACCUAAUAGCUACAAGCAGCUGCAUUCCAAAUCAAGCAAAUGUGAGGGGUUGUCAAGAAAACAAGGAUCAACAUAUAAAUCAUCCUCUGAAGAAUCCCCAUUUCUCUUCCUCUUGCAAAGUACCAUGGUGCCAUCCACAUUCAACUUGAGAAAAGAAAAUAAGGUAUUGCAAAGGAUCAUAACAACCAUAGUAAUGCUUAACUCUAUGGCUGGUAUUUGAGUGAGUAUAAACUUGAAUAUGAGCAUUUCUGUCUGCUAAUUCAUCAUCAUUCUGAGUCCAUAUGAUAACGACUUGCAAAGUAGUAGGCAGAUUAUAGAUGCGCUAGUCCAAACUAGGAUAACAAUUGAGCACAAUUUUAUAGCUGUCAAUGUUUGGGACAUUUCUAAGAUCCUUAAAGAAUAGCAAAAGGAUUGUUCGAAAGGGUACGUAUGAACAAUCUUAAAGUGCUUUCAUGCAACUUAUCAGAACUUCCAGUCCUUUGUGCUAAUUCUUCAUCAAUAUGAAAAGAGUAGAAUUGAAUUCCUGAUGGUUUUUCACUUGAUUGCAUCAAACUGUUAAGAAAGUGGUAAACUUGACCUUGAACAUGGAAAGUAUAAACACCUUUUAUGUUCUUGGUUAGUUCUGGAUCAUAGGAUCGAAAAUUAUUUUUGAAAUGAGCAUUUCCUCAUCAUUUUUAAUAAAAGACAUUUAAGAUCAUAAGGCAUUGACGAAGCUACAAUAGAGAUGUAUCCUCUAGAGCAGCAAAAGUUAGGAGGUUUCAAAUGGAAUCUCUUGGCUCCACAAUGCUCACAAUCAGGAGCAUCUGCGAGAGUCAAUGCUUCAUGAGGGAUUUCAUCAAUUUGAAAAAUAUGCCACUGCCUCCCUAUUUUAGGAGUAGCUACAUUUAUUUUGAAAUUCCAGCUGAAAAGUGAACUAAACUGUGCCCUUAUCAGGAUAAUUAAUAAUAGCAUCUAAAAAGGGUCAAAAAACUAUUGAGAAAUAAAAUGCCAACAUGAAGUCUGCUUCUCACAUGCUGACAAGAACAACGACUUUGACCAAAAGGUUGAUCUUUAUAUGAGAAAUGAGAAGAGUGGUCAAUUCUUUUUGCUUUCCUCAUAGAACCACUUUUCUCAAGACAUUCAAUAGACUCCCUCUCCUGAACAGAGGAGGUUUCUACAACUGUAUAAAGGAAUAAUCUAACAAAAGGGGCUAAUGCCAUUUCAAUGUAUACAAUUAACAUGUGGUGGGAACUAAAUAAUAUUCAGGUAGUUAGUGCUAAGAAUAUUUGUUGUUUGAAAAGACAUACCUUGAGAAGCAGACGCUGUUUCAGAAGUUUGUUUCUCAAAGGGUGGGAUUUUUUUUUCAAAUGUAAUCGUUUGUGCCUUUCAUUGAAGAAAGACUGCAGUUGACCAGACUUCAUAUAAGCCUUGGCCAAAGAAGAGUACUCUAAAACAUUUUCAAAAUGUUCAUGAGCAAGGAAAAGAUCUUUGUCAAUGCAAGAAGGUUGCACGGGCCUAUCAGGAAGAUGAGAAAAACUGCUGGUCUUGUCAACCAACACCAUAGGUACAAAGUGAGCAAUUCCAAUUCCAGAAUUUUGCUUUUCAAAAGAUACAUCUUUUUUUUUUUUUGUAGAAAUUGAUUUGCAUGAACAGUAGUUACGAGAGAAUACAACUCUUUAGAGUUUAUAGAAACAUGAGUUGAAGAACAAUAUUCAAUUGGAUUUUCAAAAUGAUCAUGCAUAAGUAAAUCUUCUCUAUCAGAGUAAGGAGUUUGGAUGACCUUAUUAGAACGAUCGAAGCAAUAUCUUGAUCGAUUAUGCAACAUUAUAGGUAUAGAGUUCCUAUUCUUUCUCCUAGGCACACGAAAAUCAGGCUCGACAGUAGAAGAAGGGAGGUUCAAAUUUUUUCCUUUUUCAAGAAGGAAUUUUCCUUGACAGCUCCUAAGAUCAGCCUUAGUAGUUAGUGGAAACUCUGCGAGUUACCAAUGAAGACACAUUUAUUUUUAAAGAAUCGAAAUAUAGAACCAGCAACCAGUAGGUAAGGAAAUGAUGUUGCUCUAAAAACUAACACUUGUAAGAAUAUUUGCAUUUGGCAUGUAAUUUGCUCUUGCAGGAGAGGAAAUAGAAUGGCUGUGAGGAACAAAAGAAGCAGGCUCACGAGAGGACAUGUACUGUAUAGGUGGCAAAUAAAUCCAUUUAAUUAAAUUUAUCCAUAUCCGUCCAUGAAUAGAUGGGCAUGCGUAUCUUAAGUUUUUAUAUAUAGACAUAAAUGGAUUACCCAAUAAUAACCAUUUAUUAAAUGGGUAUUAUUGGGUAACCUAUCAAAUCCAAUUAAUCUAUUUAGAAUUGUAACCCAUCAAACCUCCUCUCUUCCCCCACCUUUUUUUUCAGAUUUUUAAUUUUAUUAUGAUGUUAACUACUUUUGUUUCAUUAUUAUUAUUAUUAUUGUUUAUUGGUUUUAUUUUAUCAUUUUAUUUUAUUUUAGUUUGUUAACUUGCUUAUUUUUCAACAUUACCAAUUUAUGACAAGUUUUAGCCUUUUUUCUUACCUUUCCAAAAUAAAAUUUUAAAUUUACACACAAAAAAAUGCUAGAGUUUCAAGAUUUUUUAAUUAAGUUUUUAUGUUAACUUUUAUAGUACUUAGUUCAAUGUAUAUUCUUAUUGUUCAAUUAUUAAAUAUUAUGUAAUUUUACGACAUAGAGUACAGAUGAAAAAAAAUUGGUAAUUAGCCUUAUUGAAUAUUAUAAGUAAAUAUUUAAAACUAACGAUGGGUGCAAAAUAUGGAGUAAAUUGAUACUUUAGUUUGCAAAAAUGAAUUUAAAUGAGUUUACAAAAAGUUAAAAUAAAUUGAUUAUAAAUGGCUAAUUGAGUUACCCAAUUCAAUUUUUGACUUACUCAUCUAUACCCAUCUAAUUAAAUGGAUAUAAAUGGGUUGACUCACUUACAUCCAUUACCCAUUUUAACCAAUUCAAACCCGUCUAAAUCACCCAUUUUGACACAUCUACUGUAAUGCCUCGGUAAUCACAUCGACAUUAUCAUGACUGCUCUUAAAACCCCCAUAUUUUAACAUCUCACCGUGCAUAGAAGGUUGAUUCGUACUAUAAAAUUUUCUAUGAUGAGUAUCAGGAAAAGAAACACUCGAUUCCACGUAACCAAGUGGAACCUUACGAAUACGGGGAGUAGAGCUGUUAAACGAGCCGAGUCGAGCUCGAGCAUAGGACAAUCGAGCUCGACUCGAACCUCUAAUCGAGCUAGCUCGAGCUCGCUCGAUUAGUAAUUCGAGCUCUACAAGGCGCUCGAACUCGACUCGAUGUACUGAUAGAAAAUCGAGCUCGGGCUCGAGCUCGAGUUUUGAAAUCGAGCCGCCGAGCUCGAAGCUCGAACUCGAGCUUGCCAUUCAACUUCUUAAUUUGGCUUGGCACCACUCCAAUCUAUUUUAGUACUAGUAGCAGCAGCAGUAUUAUUAUUUAUUUAUUUAAAACAAAAGCCAAAAAAAAAAAAAAGAAAGUAAACCCACAUAUGCUUUAUGUAAAUCACUUUGUCGAGGGGGUCAUUAACCACAUUUUGAGUACAACAUCCUGCUACAUUUUAUCAUUAUUAUGAACAUGAACAAACAAAUGUAAGCAGAGCAGAGCAGGGACUGGAGGGGGCAAAAAUAGCAGUAGCAACAGCAACAACAACAACGAUGGUCAUAAUAAUAAUGAUAAGAAGAAGAAAGGAACACGGAUGGAUGUUCUCCAGUACAAAAUUUACUUUAAAAUCUUGGAAAUAAAUCUCUCUCGCUGCAUAUAUAUAUAUAUAUAUGUAUAUAUAUCAUAUACACUUGACACUUGUCCAGUGUGAAAGUGAAAGAGAGACUUUUGCUCAAGCUCCUGUAUUUUUCGCCUGAGGAGCAUUAGCAACUCAAAAAUUGGCCACAGAUCUACGUCUGACUAGUUUCACCAGCAUUUCCAGGCCUGGUAUUUAACAGAGGUUGCAAUGCUUUGACUACGAUGCUCAUGUUGGGUCGGAAAUCAGCUUCAUAUUGCACGCACAACGCAGCAACAGCAACCAUCUGCAUUUCAAAAAUUAAAAAAACCGCAAUUGGUGCAAAAUGGACACCUGCUUUAAUUUACUUGACUCUCUACAAAUAAACAUGGCAUCCCAGGUGGCUCCGUAUGGCGCUGCUCCAUAUGGUGGCUGCGGCUGUGAAACGGGAAAGAGAUGACAGAAAGGGGAAAUCAAAAAUUAGGGAUGGCGCCUGGCAGUGAGAAUGAAGUCUGCAGGGUGCGGCGUGAGAAUGGAGGCUGCGGGGUGCGGCGGCGUGAGAAUGGCAGCUGCGGCUGUGGAACGGAAAAAUAGAUGACAGAAAGGGGAAAUAAAAAAUUAGGGCUGUGGAACGUGAGAAUGGCGGUGGUGAGAAUGGAGGCUGAGGGAUGCGGCGUGAGAAUGGAGGCUGAGGGAUGCGGCGUACGGUGGCGUGAAAAUGGAGGCUGCGGGGUGACGGCUGUGGGAGGAGAAAAUGAAAGACCAAAGAAGGAAAGCAUGAAUUAGGGCUACAGACGGACGGGAGAUGCCUUUGACUAGAGUAACCCAUACACAUUAAAAUGACAAAAAUGCCCUUAUUUUUCGAGCCUACCGAGCUUACAGGCUCGGUUCGUAUAUUAAACGAGUACCUAUUAGAGCUCGAGCUCGGCUCGUUUCUCUCUGUUAACGAGCCGAGCCGAGCUCUUAUCGAGCAGGGUCGAGCUCGGCUCGCGAGCUGCUCGGUUCGAUUAACAGCACUGACGGGGAGUAAAUGCUUAUCUUUUUUUCUUGGCAUCACUAUCCUCUCUUUGACGUUGUAGAAGUUCCAUUUUUUUCAACGAUGGCAUUUCUGCAUACCUUUUGCCGCGAGUAACAUUUCUACCCAUUCGAUAUAAAUAAAGGAUAUCUAACUUAAUAACAAAAAAUUUAAACUGAACACUUACGAAGAAUAUAGAGAGUAAAAAUCAAACUAAUAGCAGGGAGUCAGAGGAGUUAACAGUUAACAACUGAGCAAGGAACAAAAAAAUAACAAUAAAAAAAUAAUCAAGCAGGUAAAUAUAGUGCAUGAUACAGGCAUUUUUUGUAGCAAUAGAACAGUAUCGGAAGCAAAAUAGCAGCUCCUAUAUGCAAUGAAUAAGGAUCAUAAAAAAAAUAAAGAAAGCAAAGUUCCAAACUGAAAGAAGUAAAACUGGAGCAGCAUGCAAGUAACGAUGCACCAAAAAAUGCACAUUAAAGAUGUUCAAAUUAAAGGUUACAAAUUAAAAAGGAAAAGAAGAAGAAAAUCAGAAUCACUAACCUGUGUGUAUGAAGAAACUCCACACGGCAGAACUGAAUAACAGCAAAAGCUACCAAAGAAACCAUGAUCACAUAAAAGGUAAUAAGAAAAGGGGACAAAAAGGGAAGAAAAAGAGAAGAUGAAUUGGUGAUAAUAAUUUAGAAGGGAGGGAAAGAUUUUAAAUGGUUGAACCAGUGCAUGAGAAAGCAGAGAAAUAAAGGAAGAAAACAAAUAACAAAUCAACAAGACAAUAAUUCUCAAAUACUUGAACAAUUAAAGAAUAGGAAAGUAAAGUGAACUCUAAAACAACGUACUCACUAGCAAACAGCAAUAACAGCAGCAGUGCAAGCUAAAACCAAACCAAUAAAUUAGAAAGAAUGAAGGGUCAAGAUAGCAAAAGGAAGUGAAGAACACUGCUUAUAAGAUAGUCCUUUCUGUCUAGCAAAGAAACGAGCAAUAGAACAGAAGAAAGAAUGCAGUAGGUGCACAUUUACCACUGAUCAUGAUGAUAAUCAGCAAAAAAUCCUACGUGAAAAACUAGAUAAACUCUACAACCAUUAUGCAAACAAAACACAAAACCACCUCGAGCAACGACAGCAAAAAAAGGUGAUUGUUGACAAGAGUGAAGGGUGGCGGUUUUUCCAUCUUUACAGACACAACCUUAAGUAAAGGAGAAAAAGACUACAAGGCUAUUGAGUGUAAACGUAAAUGCACACACAAGGGAUCGGUAAUAUAGUGAAAUGAAGCAUACAUUAUUCAGCUCAGGUACAACUACUUUUCGCCAAAAUAAGGCUAAUGACAAAUAAUAUAUGAGGAUACGGUGGAGUAGGAAAUCGAGAAAGCAUGCAUUUGAAUUGAAUGAACAAAAUACCGACUAUAGACUAAAUUAGUCAAUUAUUAGUUGUAAGAAAUAUGAUAUAGAAGUACAAGAGUGUGUUGAGUCAAACCAGAAAAUUCAAGAGAGGAUUCUAUAGAAAUAAGUUUACACAAAUGGGGAUCAAGACUUGAUGAAUUCAAGGCGUUUAAUCACUUUCCUUGAAGUUUGAUUGCCCCCACUAUCUUGCUAAUCCGGUCUCUGGGCAAAAACUCUAGAAUACAAUGAAUUCUAAUUAGACAACCAAGUAGCAAGUUCUUGGAUUUGUCUAGUCAAGAAUAAAAAUGCUUAAGUUAGUUUUCUGGUGUUCAACACAUUGAUUUAUACACCCACAACACUCAGAAAACUGUUAGAAACUGUUCACAUGUAACCUUUCAAAGGAACAUGCAGUUUCACUGUGAAAAGGUGCUUCAAAAGGUGCAAACCUUUCCUAUUUUGCAAACUACCUUAACAAUCCCCCACUUAAUUUGCAAAAUAGAAAGUCAAACUAACACUGAAAGUUCAUGCAUCAAGGAAAGUAACUCUCGUCUUAAACUCCCCUUGCUGAAAAAUUAAGUUUCGAUCUGAUUUGGUCGUUCUGGAUUAGACGUAGGCAUGUCUAACUCAUAGGAAGUCUUCUGUUUUGUAACUGAAACUUUGAUCUUUAAGCGUGAUCACUUAGCGUGGGCACGCUUAACUCGUUCCGGAUUAGACGUGUGCACGUCUAACUCAUAGAAGUCUUCUGAUUUGUAACUGGAACUCUGAUCUUUAAGCGUGAUCACUUAGCGUGGGCACGCUUAACUCCUAAGGAGUCUUCUAGUCACCAAACCAAAAUACACAUUUAAGUGAAACCCUUGGUCGCUAGAUUGCUUAAACCAAGAUUCACAAAACUAAGAAAUAUCACAUACAUGAAUCAUGUAGCAUUUAUAUAUUCACAACCAUCAGUAGCACUGUGCUCAUCCUAUUCAUGAUCAUAUAUAAGAGAUCACCCAAAACUCUUGUUAGAAGCGGCACCACUUCUAUGACCAUAUAGGUAAACUAUAUUUCUAGUUUUAACAAAUAAAACACAAGAAAUAUGUUUAUUAAGAGUUACUUCUCAUCCUACUCACUUAAGAGUAACGCAUAACACUACUAAUUGGAAUGAUCUACACACAAAAAUGUAGUGUUCACUAUCACUUGAAACAACUUGUUAUUACCCUUUAAACCUUCCAAACUAGGGGCAGUACUAGAAGAAAGGUUGGGUUACCAUUGUUAAGUGAUUUUAGUAUAAGGGUUUUAAUCCCAUUCCGGAUGUUGUUACAUUCACUAACUCUCUUGUUACAGGUUUAGUCAACGGAUCCGCCAAGUUUUUGUGUGUUCUUACAAACACAAUACUGACAACAUCACUUGCAAGUAUUUGUCUUAUAAAUGCAUGUCUCAAGCUUAUAUGUCUAGACUUACCAUUGUAAACUUUAUUCAAUGCUCUAGACAUAGUAACUUCACUAUCACAAAAGAUAGUUGUUGGAGGCAUUGGUUUAGGCCAAAAAUCAAUAUCGAGUAAAAGAUCUCUUAGCCACUCAGCCUCUUUACAAGCUGAAGAUAGUGCAAUAAAUUCAGCUUCCAUGGUUGAAUGAGUUAUCACCGUUUGCUUCUUUGAAACCCAUGAGAUAGCUCCACCACCAAGCAUAAAAAUCCAACCACUAGUCGAUUUUUGCUCACUAAAACUAGUAAUCCAACUAGCAUCUGAAAACCCCUCAAGAACACUAGGAAAACUAUUAUAAAAGAGGAGAAAAAUGCAAUUUUGGUACCUAAAUUUUGACGCACGAGCAGUUUUAGUCCCUAAAUUUUGGACGAAAACAAAUUUGGUACCUGAACUUUUAAAUUUUGAGCACAUUAAGUACCAUUGAUGAUUUUUUUUCAAAUUGUUACCGGAAAAAGCCAUGUGACAGUCACGUGUUUGGCCAAAAUAAAAUUUAAAAAGGCUAAAAAUGCAGUUUUGGUACCUAAACUUUGACGCACGAGCGGUUUUAAUCCCCAAAUUUUUGACGAAAAUAAAUUUGGUACCCGAACUUUCAAAUUUUGAACACAUUAAGUACCCUUGAUGAUUUUUCUUAAAUUAUUAUCGAAAAAAACCAUAUGAUAGUCACGUGUCUGGCCACAAUUGUAUAAAAAAAAAGGCCCAAAAAAUGUCAAAUGCCAUUCUAAUACUAAGUAUUAAAUUUAAGGACUAAUAGCAUAAUAAAGAAAAAAUUUAAGGACUAAAUAACAUCACAUGAGUCAACAAAACCCAAGAACCGAUACAAAUGAGGCCACAAAUUUUAUGACUUGAUUCUUAGAUUAAUGUACUGGAAUUGGAUGUCAUUUGUAUCGGUUCUUGGUUUUUGUUGACUCAUGUGAUGUUAUUUAGUCCUUGAAUUUUUUCUUUAUUACGCUAUUAGUCCUUAAAUUUAAUACUUAGUAUUAUAAUGGCAUUUGGCAUUUUUUGGCCUUUUUUUUUAUACAAUUAUGGCCGGACACGCGAUUGUCAUAUGGCUUUUUUCGGUAACAAUUUGGAAAAAAAUCGUCAAGGGUACUUAAUGUGCUCAAAAUUUGAAAGUUUGGGUACCAAAUUUGUUUUUGUCCAAAAUUUGGGGACUAAAACCGCUCGUGCGUCAAAGUUUAGGUACCAAAACUGCAUUUUGACCUUUUUUUAUUCCAUUUUGGCCAGACACGUGACAGUCAUAUGGCUGUUUCCGGUAACAAUUUGAAAAAAAAUCGUCAAAGGUACUUAAUGUGCUCAAAAUUUGAAAGUUCGGGUACCAAAUUUGUUUUCGUCCAAAAUUUGGGGACUAAAAUCGCUCGUGCGUCAAAGUUUAGGUACCAAAACUGUAUUUUUCUCAUAAAAGAGCCCAAGAUCUUUGGUUCUUUUAAAAUAACCAAUCACUCUACAAAUAGCUUUCCAAUGAUCUUUACUUGGAUUUUUAGUGUAUCUAGCUAGUUUACAAACGGAGUAUGAAAUAUCCGGCCUAGUGCAACUCAUUGCAUACAUAAGACUACCAAUAACACUAGCAUAUUCUAGUUGAGCUAUUGGUUUACCGGUAUUCUCAUACAGUUUAAAGUUAGGAUCAAAAGGGGUGCCAACUUCUUUCACAUUUAAAUAUUGAUACUUCUUUAAUAUUUUCUCAACGUAAUGUGAUUGAGACAGGGCAAAACCCCCACUAUGUCUUUUAACUUUAAUCCCCAAGAUAGUAUAUACUUUACCAAGAUCUUUCAUUUUGAACUUAGAAGAUAAAUACUUCUUAGUUUCUACUACACCUUUAAGUGUAGCACUAACAAUUAGCAUGUCAUCCACAUACAAACAAAGAAUCACACUAUACUCACUAUUGGAUUUAGAAUAAAUGCACUUAUCAGCAUUAUUGUACCUAAAUCCACUAGAGAGUAAAACAGAUUCGAAUUUCUCAUGCCAUUGUUUUGGAGCAUGUUUCAAGCCAUAUAAAGACUUCACUAGUUUACACACCUUAUGUUCAUUACCCGGGAGUACAAAACCUUCCAGUUGUUCCAUGUACACCUCCUCGUUCAAAUCACCAUUUAAGAAAGCUGUUUUAACAUCCAUUUGAUGCACAUGAAGGCUAAAAACAGAAGUUAAAUCUAGUAGUACUCUAACAGAGGUUAUCCUAGCCACAGGUGCAUAUGUGUCAAAAUAGUCUAUUCCUUCCUUUUGUCUAUAGCCUUUAGCCACUAAUCUAGCCUUGUAAGCAAGAAUAGUUCCAUCGGUGGCAUAUUUCUUGCGAAAUACCCACUUACAACCAAUAGGUUUAGAACCUUGAGGCAAGUCGACAAGAACCCAAGUAUUUUUAGACAAUAUUGAGUCCAUUUCAUCAUUCACAGCCUCUUUCCAAAAUGCAGCAUCUCUUGAUUUCAUAGCUUCAUCAUAUAUCUUAGGAUCAUCCUUUACACUCAACAAAAUUGGAGUUUUAUUUAGUAGAGAAUCUCUAUUUUCUUCUACUAGAAAAACAAUAGCUUGAAGAGACACAAAGUCGGGGGGCAAUUGUUUUUCUUUUCUUUGUCUUUGACUCCUCCUAAGUUCACUAGGAGUAUCAAUUUCUUUCCUUUUUGUACCACUAGAAGAGGCUGCAUUUGGAGAGGAUGGACCUAUAGUGACUAUUGAGUUUUUAAGAAACUUAUCUUCAAAGAACUCAACAUCCCUUGACUCAACUAUUAUAUUUGAACCAAGAUCAAGUAGUCUAUAGGCUUUCGAAUUUUUUGCAUAGCCAACGAACACACUUUUAAGGGCUCUAGGUCCCAAUUUAGUCCUUUUAUUAUCAGGGACCCUAUAGUAGGCUAUACAGCCCCAAAUCCUUAAAUAAGACAGAUUUGGUUUUCUAUUUUUCCAUACUUCAUAGGGAGAAUUUCUACUUUUUAAGGAAGGAAUUCUAUUAUGAACAUGACAUGCAACUAACAAAGCUUCAUCCCACAAAUUAUUUGGCAACCCUGAACUCACAAGCAUGGAUUUAACCAUAUCUUCAAGAGUUCGAUUUUCCUUUUAGCCAAACCAUUUUGUUGUGGUGUGUAUGGUGCACUGGUUUGGUGUACAAUUCCACUUUCUUCACAAAAUUUUGAGAAUUCACUAGGGAAGUACUCACCCCCUCUAUCACUUCUCAAAAUUUUAAUUUUCUUAUUUAAUUGAUUUUCUACUAAAGCCUUGUCUGUUUUAAACAUACCAAAUACUUCUUCUUUGUGUUUCAUAAGAUACACAUACACAAACCUAGAACAAUCAUCUAUGAAUGUGACAAAGUAUCUAUUUCCACCUCUAGUUAGAAAACCAUUGAACUCACACACAUCAGAAUGCACAAGAUCAAGCAUUUGUGUUUAUCGUUCAACUUUAGGAAAAGGCAACCUUGUAAUCUUGGCUUGAAUACAAGUUUCACAUUUCUUAUUUUCAAGGUCAUUAUAUGAACUUAGGCCAUCUUUAGACAUAAAUUUCAACACCUUAUGAUUCACAUGUCCUAACCUACCAUGCCAUAAAAAAUAAGAACAAGUAGAAGAAGUAGAAGCCAAAGAGUAAACAGAAAUAUCAUUCACUUUAUUAAUACUCAACUUGAACAUUCCAUUACAAGAAUAGCCAUUUCCUACAAAUACACCAUUCUUUGACAAAAUUACAUUAUUUGACUCUAGUACAGCCUUCAAUCCCUUCUUGUUAAGAAUGUCCGCAAUCAUUAAAUUCUUAACAAUAUCGGGAACAUGAAGUACGUUGGUAAGGACCAACUUUUUACCGGAUGUGAAUUGAAGAUGCAUAUCCCCUUUGCCAUGAAUCUUGGCUCUCACUCCAUUUGCCAUGGCAACUUCAUGACCUUCAAGAAGUUCAUAACUCUUGAACUGAUUCUUAUCGUUGCAAACAUGAAUUGCAGCACCAGAAUCAUACCACCAAUCCUUUGAAGGCGUAGGUGUCGUCAUAUGAAGUUCAGUCACCGUACCAAGAGUCAUCAUUGCUACAAUUUCUGCACACUCAUCAACAAGAUUAGCACUUGGAGCAACAUUUUUUUUUAUUUCUUAUUGAGUUUGCACUCGGCCUUAUAAUGGCCUUUCUUACCACAAUUGUAGCAAUUUCUACUUCUUUUCUUAUUGUCUUUUGAAUUAGUAUUCUCAGGCCUCUUUCUCUUAUUACCAGAAUUCAUUUUCUCUUCAACCAUAUUAGUCUUAGGAGCAUCGUCAACUUCUAGUUUUUGAAGUAUUCUAGCCCCUUCUUCAAUUCUAAGAUGUUUCAAAACACUAGAUAAAGUUAAAGUUUCAGAAGUGUGAAGCAACUUCUUUUGGUAAUCAUUCCAUAAUGGUGGCAACUUAGCAAUUAUUGCACCAACUUGGAAAGAUUCAGAAACUUCAACACCAUAAUCUUUAAGUUUAGAAACUAUCACUUGAAGAUUAUGAAUUUGGUCCAUAAGAGAAAAGGAAUCAGCCAACUUAAACUCAAAAUAUUUCUUAAUGAGAAACUUAUCUGUGCCUUGCUUUUGGGUUGUAUACUCUCGCUCAAUUGCAGCCCAGAUUUCCCUUGGAUUUCGUACUCCUUGGAACAUAUCGUAGUAACUAUCCGAGAGGGUGUUGAGAAUGUGGCCUCGGCAAAUGAUCUCGUCCUCUUCACGCUUUUGCCUUUGAUUUGUCACUUCCUCAGACUCACCCUCCGCAGGAGCAAGAAUUUUUGGAAGAUUCGAAUUGAGUAUGUAAGCCACCUUCAAUGCAGUGAGGAAGAACAUAAGUUUGUCCUUCCAACGGUUGAAGUUGGUUCUGGUUCCAUCAAGUUUGUCCAACUUAACGAAAUCUUGGUUCAUGACUUUGAUGGCACUCUCUUGGGCAAACUCCAUUCUUGUCAAUCAAUCAAACUUCAAGAUUGUAAGAAAAAUGAUAUAAAAGUACAAGAGUGUGUUGAGUCAAACCAGAAAAUUCAAGAGAGGAUUCUGUAGAAAUAAGUUUACACAAAUGGGGAUCAAGACUUGAUGAAUUCAAGGCGUGUAAUCACUUUCCUUGAAGUUUGAUUGCCCCCACUAUCUUGCUAAUCCGGUAUCUGGGCAAAAACUCUAGGAUACAAUGAAUUCUAAUUAGACAACCAAGUAGCAAGUUCUUGGAUUUGUCUAGUCAAGAAUAAAAAUGUUUAAGUUAGUUUUCUGGUAUUCAACACAUUGAUUUAUACACCCACAACACUUAGAAAACUAUUAGAAACUGUUCACAUGUAAUCUUUCAAAGGAACAUGCAGUUUCACUGUGAAAAGGUGCUUCAAAAGGUGCAAACCUUUCCUAUUUUGCAAACUACCUUAACAUUAGUAAUAUAAGAAGUCAAGUUAUAGCAGGAAAAAGAAUGAAAGAAAAGAAUAAGAAGAAGCAUAUUUCUUAGUAGGAUCAAUAUCAACAUCUCCUCACAUAACAACUAACAAAUAAUUGGAAAACUUUGUUAACUUAUUCAAAUUAUUUCGGUAGCCAAAGAAUGACAGUAUAGUAUUUAAGCAAUUAACAAUUAGUUGCAAAAGAUUAGCCAAGGAAGGAUGAUUUUCUUAUGUAGAAACAAAGUCGUUGUUAAUCUAAAAAAAGAAACGGUAAUCAAAUGCAACAUGUUAGUAAAAAAUACAAAGCUAAUAACUUAAACAGGUGGCCAUUAAACAUAAACUAUUAAGGAUAAUAGGUGAAAAAAAUUAAAUAUGCAAAUAACGAUUAAGUAGAAAGGAAUGACAAUUGAACAUUAAUUGUUGGACACCCUUAAAAAAAACCUAAUUUUUUAAUAUAACUUUUUGCGAAGAAUUGAUGAUUACGUGUUUGGCACUUGAGUUUUUUGCCAAGUUUGUCUGCAACAAGUUUUUAAAAAAAUUUUAGCUACAGUAACCUCAAAAAACUUCUCAAAGUUUUUAAACUAUACAUUUUAAAAUAUUCAAAAAUUUGCACACUUCAAAAAAUUUUUAAAAACUUCUAUAAUAAGUUACAAUAAAGUUUUACACAAACACCCAAAAAACUCACUUGCCAAAUGGGCCCUAUUUUGUUAGACAACAGCAACAAAAAGGUAAUUUAAUUUUGAGGAGAUUUCAAGGAGUAAAUAUUGAAUGUAAUUCAAUGGGCAAUCGAAAAAAAACAUUAAUCACGGACAAAUGAAUAAAAAAAAAAUUGGCCUCUCAAAAUUUGAUAAUAAUAAUUAAAUGUCUCCCCCCUCAUUUUGCAAAGAAAGAAAAAACCAUUUUUUUAGAGUGAUGCGCCAUUUUCAAAUAGCUGAUAAUUAGACAUAAAAAUUUAGAAAAUAAAGUAACAAAAAAUAUUUAAUAAAUCAGCAAUUGAAAUCAAUCGCAAACAUUGGCAUUCCCCAAUAAACUAGAUAUGUUAAUAAACAUGUCACCAAUUUUGUAAAGAAAUGGUGUCGUAUAUUUAUAAUGAGUUUUAGUCACAUUCAUCUCCGAAUUUUAAUCAUACAGUUUGGGAUUUGUAUUGGAAUUUACCAGACAUUGAGCUUUGCUUGCAGCGUUUGGUAUAGCUCAUGGAAGCUUGGUAAUUGGACAAAAUUACUUUGUUGUCCUUUGUUGGAUUUAACUACACUUAACGAUGUUGCAGGGUUAAAUGAAAAAUUAAUCUUUGGCUAUGGUUAUUUACCUUUAUACCUUUAGUAAUAUCUAUGGACUGCAAUUUAAAACUAAUUUUGCGCAUUUAAUUUAAUUAGUGUAUUCAAUGUCUAAGCUUGCAUCUAUUGGAUUUUUAUUCAGAAUUGCCUCACCUUCAUUUUUCUUAUAAUUUAUUCGUUGCUAUAGUUGUUUACUUUUAUGCCUUCAGUGCUGCCUAUGGACUAAGUUUAAAAGUAAUUUAUUUUCAAAAAAAAAAUAAAAGUAAUUUUGCAUAUUUAAAUAAUGUAUACAUUGUUAAGCAUUUGUUAGAAUUUUUGUUUAGAAUUGGCUUACCUUCCUUUUUCUUCCGAUACUAAUAUUCAACCAUGUGAUUGAUUGAUCUUUCUUCUUUGUCCAUUUUGUAUUUUUUCUUAUUUGCUAUUUUCUCUUAUUACCUCUUUGGUUCUAGUAUUGAUCGAUUUUAGUUUUUUUUUUUUUAAAGUAGCUGUAGUCGCUUAUUGGGAUUGAGGUAAAUCCUUUGAGAUUUUUGGCUUGGGCUUAUCUAUUCUUGAAUUAAAAUUUUUAAAACUCAAUAUGGAGGUAGAUUAAUCAAAGAGGUUGUGGACACAUACCUAUACGACUAAGAGUACAAUAGAAAGUUCAAAAAGUUACAAUUGUAUUUAACACCAUACAAUAAUGCUCCGUUAUAUAAUUUGUAUAGACUAGUAAUUAAUGCACACCCAACGCAUGUGUAUGAAAUGUUUAAAAUAGUACAAUUUUCGAAAUCAUUUUUAUGAGAAUUAAUUUUAUAUUUUGAUAAAUAUAUAUAGAAAAUGAAUAAAGUGCGCUUAUUUGUAGUGGAUACUUCUUUAUUUAAUGCAUAAUGAAAAGGAAAAAAAAAUAAAAGUAAGCUCAUAAAGUGAAAUUCAACAGAUAAAAUUUUCAACAUAAAUUCCUUUUCUUUUGAAUGAGGGGCAUGCGCUUAAUAACAAAUAUAUAUUAAAAAUAAAGAUAAUAGCAAAUUGUGAUAACAAAUAGAUAUUACAAAAUAACAGCAAAUAGUAAAUUGUGCACCCUCAUGUGAGAAGUGAAACUUUUUUUCAAUCUAAUCUGACUUGGAUUUCUUUUCAUCUAAUUCGAUUGGUGGACCGAGAGCACAGACGAUUGUUAGUGACAAUCAUCCGAAAUAGUGUAAAGCUUUUUGACCGGGUUGUAAUUCGUAUUAAACACAUCGUAUAUCUUUACAACAGAUGUGUACUAUUCUAUUACUGUUCAUGUGAGUCCCAUACAUGAAUGUACAAACAGUUCAAUUUGAAUUACAACCCGUUCAAAAAUACUUAUCAUGUUCUAGAUGGUUGUCAGUGACAACCGUCGGUGCCCCUACUAUUCGACGGGGCUAGUUGGGCGCUUUUUCUAAUAUAAUGUUGUUGUUGAAAAACAAAGUAAAAACGAGCAAUAUAAUUUGAAGUUAAAAUAAAGAAUUCAAAUUAUUGUGGGGUCGCUUUCCUUGAGUUUGAGAACUGCGUGCAUCCUCUCAUCGAGAACUAUAAACGAAUCGAGCCCUUAGUGAACCAUUCGAGCUCGAAUCAUUAAUGAAUCGAAUCAAGUUCAAUUUUGAACAAGUUCGAACUCAAUUUAAAAUUAGUACAUGAAUUUUAUUAAGUAUCAAAUCAAAAACUUGUACCACAUUCGGCUCGUUAACGCUCGAUUUGACUUGAAUAAAUUUUUAUAUUUUUAUUUUAUAUAAUAAAUAUUUUAUACAUAAUAACAUAUUUAUUUUUUUUUUGGAAAAAUAACUUGUUUUAUCUCUCAUAUUUCAUAAAAAUAUUCUUUUCAUCUUUCACAUUUAAAAUGAAGCAAAUUGGUCAUUCACAUUUAAAAACCCAAGCUUUUACAUCCUAGAAAUAAACUCUCAGUUGUGAAUCAAACCAUCUAACAAUCCGAUUACAAAUUUUGUAGGUAGAAUUGGUAUAUCACUUGCAUUGUGAAUCAAACUAUCUAACAAUUUGGUUACAAAUUUUGGGGGUAGAAUUGAUAGAUCACUUGCAAAACACAUAUUUUUAAGGGUUUAGUGCUUGAGAGCUUUAGCACUAUUUCGUUCUUUUGAAGAAACAAAUGUGUUUUAAUUAAGAUUUUUUAAUUGCUUUAAUUUAUUUGUUAGAAAUAUGUUUUUGCGAGUGAUCUAUCAAUUCUACCCUCAAAAUUUGUAACCGGAUUGUUAAAUAGUUUGAUUCACAACUGAGAGUUUAUUUCUAAAAUAUAAAAGUUUGGGUUUUUAAAUAUGAAGGACCAAUUUGCUUCGUUUUAAAUGUGAGGGACAAAAAGAACAUUUUUACAAAAUGUGAUGGAUGAAACAUGUUAUUUUCUCUAUUUAUUUUAUAGAUAUUAUAUAUUUGUUAUUGAUAAACCAAUAUUAAAAUAUAUUUUGAACUCUCGAAUCAAACUAGAAACUACUUAAUAUUAAAUCGAAUCCAGUUUGAACUUAAACUUUAAACUCGAAUUGGAAUUCAAGUUCAAAACUCCAAAUUGCGCUGGACAGUUUCAAAAUUGAAUGAGUUUGUUUGGAUAAGAAUUUAUUUGGAUGAUUUAUUUGAUCUAGUUACUGUAGUACUUUUUGUAAUGUGAUGUAUGUGAGAUAAAAAGGUGAUUGGGAAUUGUGUGUAUGAUGCAAGCAAAACAAAAUCUGAAAUAAAUCUUGCAAAUUUUCUUUGUCCAAACAAACCCAACGAUUAUUCGGUUCGUUUGUGGCCAUACUCCUAGACAAAACAGCCGUUAAAAUUUGGUAUGGGCCCAGCCGGAAACCCUUUUGAUUGGGUCAUAAUAAUCCGAAAUUGACGACGUUGUAUUCAGAAAGCUUCCCACUGUGCCUGAUCAGUAAACAGGUCAUUUCAGACUUGGAGAGUUGGAGUGGCGAUGAAGAGAAGAGCGGCUUCAUUAGGUACUGCUGCUGCUGCUAAUUGUACUACUCUCGCUUCAUUUCUCUCUGCAUUUCCAAGCCCUAAACCCCAAUUAGCUUUCUGUUCAGCUAUAGCAACUAGUAGUGAUAAAAUUAGAAAUCAUCAGCACCAAAUUGGAACGUCUUCUGGUAAUGUUUUGCAAUUUCUUUCUGGGUUGAAGGGUAGGAUUGAUAGUAUUGACAAUCUUGAUGAUGCUCUUAGCUUAUACCAGCAGAUGGUCCGGAUGAGGCCUCUUCCCUAUGUUUUUUAUUUCAAUCGACUGGUGGACCGCAUUGUUAAGAUGAAGAAGCAUUAUUCAUCUGCUGUCUCAGUUUUCAGAGAUAUGUACGUCAGGGGCAUUCCUCUUAGUGACUACACCCUCAAUGUUGUGAUUAAUUGUUACAGCCUCAUGGGUCGAGUGGAUUUGGGGUUUUCUGUAUUGGGUGUCUUCUUCAAGCGUGGUAUUCUGCCCGACAUAGUCACCUUUAGUACUCUACUUAAAGGACUAUUUCGGGAACAUAAGGUUCUCCAAGCACAAGAAUUGUUUAAGAGGAUAAUUUUCGAAAAGCUUUGCGAGCCCAAUGAAGUUAUGUUUCUGAUUGUGAUAGAUGGGCUCUGUAAGGUGGGCAACACUCAAAAGGCUGUUGAAUUCCUAAGAGUCAUGGAAAAAAGAAGAAGAUGUAAGCUCAAUGUUAAUGUGUACAAUACUAUCAUUGACAGCUUUUGCAAAGAUAAAAUGGUCGGUGAAGCUUUUGCCCUUUUGCAGGAGAUGAUUGAAAAGGGCAUUCCCCCAGAUGUUGUCACUUAUAAUUGUUUGAUUGGUGGUCAAUGCAAUUUAAAUAGAUGGAAAGACGUUACAAAGCUCUUUUCUGAGAUGAAGGAUUACAAAAUUACUCCAGAUGUUGUUACUUUCAAUAUAGUGGUGGAUGCACUGUGUAAGGAAGGACAUAUCGAAAUUGCUGAAGAGGUAGUCGGCAUCAUGAUUAGGCAAGGUCACAAUCCCAAUCUGGUCACAUACAGUUCCUUAAUGGAUGGAUACUGUUUAAAGCGCCGAAUAGAUGAAGCAAGGAGGGUCUUUGAAGCCAUGGUUAUUAGCGGCCUUACUCCUGACCUCCAUAGCUAUGGUAUUCUGAUAAAUGGCUAUUGCAAGCACAAGAAAGUGGAAGCAGCCAUGAAUAUCUUUCGUGAGAUUCAGCAUAAAGGUUUAACACCUAAUAUUGUUGUUUAUAACAUUGUCUUGCAGGGGUUAUAUAGCGUAGGAAGCUAUCUUAGUGCAAGAGAAGUUUUCGAUGAGAUGCAAACUGCUGGCAUAAAGCCUAAUUUUUACACUUUCUGUUUGAUGUUGGAUGGAUUAUGCAAGACUGGACAUGUCGACGAAGCAUUGCAGUUAUUCCAUUCAAUGGAAGCUGAUGGAAUCGAUCAUCAUAUAGGCAUGUACAGUAUCAUCCUUGAUGGUUUGUGCAAAAGUGGGAGGCUAGAUAGUGCUCUUGAUCUUUUUGACAAUCUCAAUGAUAAAGGAUUGGAUCCUAAUGUCCCAACAUACACCACAAUGAUUGCUGGCCUGCUUUCACACGGCCUGCUCACCGAAGCUAAAGAGCUUUUUGGAAAAAUGGAAGAAAAUGGUUGCCUGGCAGAUAGCGUUACAUUCAAUGUUAUUCUGCAACAACUCCUUAAAGGAGGCCAUUAUGAUGAUGCAAUAGUCUACCAUGAAGAAAUGGUUCGUAGAGGUUUCUUGCUAGAUGCAUCUACUUUUUCCAUUUUACUUGAUUCAUCUACUGAAAACCAGAAAAAUCCUUCUCUACUUAUGUUGAUGCUGAAGAUUGGUCCUGAUAGCAAGAAGUUUAUGGAUGGGGGGUAAAGAGGACCUUCACAUUGGUUGCAACUUUUGGUCCUACUGGUUUUUGGCCCCUAAACUUUAACUAACAUUAUAUAGGUUUGCUUUUGAUUCUGUUUUAACUUAUCAUCUUUAUGGAAUAUAAGAAGUGUUGCAGCUGAGCCUUGAGUAGCUCUCUUGGUCAUAUUUUGUGAAAUGCCUCAAAGCUCUUCAGUCCAGGUGGAAAAAGCUGUGGUCUUUAAGGGAAGUUCAAUUUAUAACUGUACUGGUGUAGCAGUUCACAGAAGCCUGCUGGUGUUAAUUGGAUAUGUACAGCUUCUUCAGAGAGACUUCUUGCUUAUCCUUUCUUAGAGAACUUCAGCGUAGCAUAUCACUUAAAAGGUAACUUGUACGGCUCCUUUUCUUUGUGUUUCAUGGGUUUUAGUACUUUUUGCUUGCAUGUAACUUUAGUUUGGAUAACUAAUAGCUGAAUUCAUUGGAAUUAAGAAUGAAACUUCAUCUGAAAAUAUAAUUUUUUUAUCUGGAUUUAUAGAAAGGUUUAGUUACAAGCUGCAUUUUUAAUAAUUUGGAGGAAGUUUUUUCUUGUAAGCAGAAUAAAUUUGUUACCUUUUUUCAAUUCCUAAAUGUAGCCAAAGGUGCAGCCAGUUUAAACGUGUAAAAAAUUUUUGCACCAGUAUCUUGGUUUGGGUUAAAAUUUUGAGGUCCCAUGGAUGGUCAUGGCUGUUGACUUCUGUCACUGCAUUUGAUUGGAGGCCAACUUUUCAAGUAUAAUCCAGAAAAUGUAUUCUGAUCACUUUCCGUUUAACUAUAAACUAAACUACACAAGGAUCCUUAGUAGCGAACCUUUAAAUCCUUUAAUUUGUAGGCAUUGGUAAUCGUUCAACAGUUUUAUCAGUAUAAGAACUCAUUGAGCUUUUAUUAUUUAAAAUUAAUGUCAAUGCUGUACUAAAUUGUAUAUAUACUGGAUAGGAAUGUGGCAAAUAUAUCUUUUUCUUAAAAUAAGUUGCACUAAUCUGUCCAAGAAACUCUCCAUUCUUUUCAUAUUGUUCUCCUGAUAAAUACAUUUACUUGUUCAUCUAAAAUAAACUUCCUGAUAAUGAAUUCAUUACUUUUAGUAUUGGAUUGUUGCUAAAUUGCAAUAAUAACUAAAGAAUUGGCGUUUGUUGCACAAGUAUACCAAUUCGUUGAACUUCUGUUAGGUUCCCAUCUGCAAUCGUCAAAAUAAUAAAGAAAAAGAAAAAAGUUUUAGUGGCUCAUCAAAAUGUUAACAAUACACUCUGUUCUAGUCUAGCAAGUUUCAUAUCUGUCAUUUCUUUUUCUUAUUCUUGUUCUUUCCUGGAGAGGCGGAGGGAGGUGAAAGUUUGUAUGGGGUGUGAAGAUUUCUUGUCAGAUAAGACUGCAUUGAAACAAUCAAUUAGGUAUUAAAAAGCAUAGAAAAACUUUUGAUGGAUUUUAUGUGAAAGAAUUCAGCUGAAGUGAUUAAGACUAAUUUCCUAAAUCAAUUUUGGGAACAAUUUCUGUGGCUUUACUGACUAUGUCCUCAUUAAGUAUGUCAUGCUUAAAAUUGAUGGAGUAUCUCUUUUAGCUGUGGAAAAAGUGUACUGUUUAGUGGCCUAUAAAAAACAUCGAGAAGCGAUCUUUUGUUGAUCUGCUGUAUAGCUGAUCUGUGCAGAUUUUUUAUUUGUGUGGUUUUGUUAGUGCAUGCACUAAUGAGUGAUGGGGUCAUCCGUUGCAAAUACAAUGACAGUUGCAUGUUUUUUGGUUAAAAACAAUAAGUCUUCUUGCUCAUGUUAAAAUUUUAUUUUGGCAUCCUAAGAUGAAGAUUUCAACGAGACCUUGUACAGAUGUCUCCAGAUUGAACUUAAGAUAUGCUUUAUCAAGGUAGAAUAAGUUCCACGUUCCGUUUUAAGUUUAGCUCAGAAAGUAUUAUUCUUCCAUACUGUGCACAUUUAAAAUAAAAAAUAAUUGGGCAAAAAACCGCAGUGGUUCUCUAAUUUUUAACUUUGCACAGUUUUAGUCCUCCAACUAAUAAUUGGGCAAAUGUAGUCUUCCAAUUAAAAAAAUUGUAUAUUUCUAGUCCAUCCGUCCAAUGUGGCUAUUAAGAUGGAUGGGAGAGACAUCACGGACUACUCUCAUAACAUUUGUUGGGGGCAAUCUCGUUAGCACAGCAGAGGGACUUACCUUAAAAAUCUCCUUCUUCUUCAUUUUCACUCCAAUUGACAUCUGAAGCUUGUAGGACUGGUAGCAGUAGAUUCUUGGUCUCAAUUGAGCCGAAAAUGAGGAGAUUGAACACUCCAACUCUCCCUGUGUGCCCCUGCGGUAAAUCGACAAAGAUGGUGACUUCGUGGACAUCUCAAAAUCCUGGCAGGAGGUAUGCAGUAUGCGCAGUGGGGGUUGCGAGUUUUGGGAUUGGAUCGACGAGGAAAUGUGUCGGUCAAUUGAGGUGAUACCCGGUCUUCUAAGAAGGGUGAAUGCAACUGAACAACAAAGGGAUGAAUUGCAAACUGUACUGACCAAAUUGGAGUCAAAAGCUACAAAGUUGAAGGUGAAAGUGAAGGACAUGGAACACGAAUUGGCGAGGCAAAAACAUAUUAGGAAGUGGCUUGUAAGACUAUUGGUACUCUCUUGGGUUUUAAUCUUAUUAAUGGUGGUUUGGCCUCGAGAUGAAAGAUGGACUUCUGGAAGAAGCUCUAUGAAAAUUGUGUUGAUGUGAAAAUUGUAUCUAUCAAGAUGCUAAUGGAGUAAUCUGAUUUUAAGAUAAUGUAAAAAUUGUAUUAGCCUUUUGUAGUGUUAGCUAGGCUAACAAAUCUGUAGUUGAAUUGUACUCUAUGCUUUUGGAAGAAUGGAAAUAAUAGAAUGAAGUUUGAUCUGAACUGGUAUAGCUGUGAAAUUGUUAUGGCAGGUUGGCAGUCACACAUGAAGACGACAGUAGAAUGGGAACAAUUGAAUGAAUGCUAAAAAUAAUAGAAAAAUCAGAAUAAAACAAAAUGUCCUGUUAUAUUCAUUCAGUGGAUAAAAGCUAACAUAGCAGUCCAAAGGGAUACAAUAGUCAAACUUGACCAUUAACAAUUAGUAGACAAAAAACUAAUCCAGCUACACAAAAGCAGUUGGACAAAAAAUCAUUACUUGGUCAAAAGUUGUCUAUUACAAAAGACAUUUUCCAGUCAAAAGAGAUCCAACAAUAAAGUACUGCUAGGUAUAGCAAAAACAGACUACUUCAGUGGGUGUUGUUGGAUUAAGCUGCAUUCUAUCCUCUUGUACCUCCAGUUCCCCUUCCUCUACUAGCUCUUCCUCUGCCCCUGCCACUCCAUUUUUCCUUCCAAUUCCCAAUAGUGAAGGGAGGUUGCUUGCCCAAAUAUGCGUAAUUCAGAUUGAUAAAUUCUUUAUUAGCAUUUGUUAAAGGCUGUUUUGUUGAAUUUUUCUGCUUCUGCCUCUUAGGAGGUAGUUGCUGUGUUAAGGGAGCGCUAUAAGAGGCCUGCUGUUCUUGAAGAUUAGCGCCAUGCUAGAAUGAUGAUUGGUGGUCUUGCUGAUCCACUUGCUGUUGUUGUGUCUCAUUCUAAUGCUUAUGUUGGUGUACAGAUUCAAAUCCCGAACGUUGAUGAUCAUAUGUCUCGUGAACUUGAGGAGAUUGGCGCUGCACUUUUUUUUUUUUGUUCCUUUGCUGGUCCUUUCUAACUUGUCAAUGACAGCAAAUAGUAAAAAGUAAGAUUUUAAACUGCCUUUUCAUGUAUACCACAAUUUCUUAAUACUUAAAGUCUGCCUUUUAAAUGGUCUCGCAAAGGAUUUUGGACUUUUAGGAGGCAAUGCACCCUGUGGAGUAUAUACAUCAAUAUCAGAACCCUCUUCUACUUGAUUAGAUUGAGUAGACCCUUCUUUGCAGUAUGUAGUUGCAUUGUGACCUGCCUUCCCACACUUUCUACAAUGUACAACAAUUCCCCUUCUCAGUUUUCUACCAUGAUUUUUUCCUUCUGUGAUGUCUCUUCUUCGAGCCUUUCUUGGCUUCCCAGGUUGAGCAACAGUGAGUGGUGGGUCCAAUAUAGGUAUGGUGGAUGGGAGCCAUAGAAUUUCAUCACUAAUUGGUUGGAGAACAUUACAAUAUAUGUUAAAAAAUAGAUCUGUACUGUAGCAACCUUCAACUUCGUUAUAAGGAUUUCCAUUAUUUCUGGGAGUGGCAAUUUUCGACAUGACUUGCAAACACGACACGAAUCUAACACGAAAUUAAUGGAUUUGGGUUGAGAUUUCAGAGGUUCGGAUCAGAAUCGGGUCGAACCCGAUGAACCUGAAAAGAAAACAGGUCGAUUUCGGGUCAACCUAUGGGUGACCCGAUAUAAUCCGUUUACGAAUUAAAAAUAAUUUAAUAAACAUAAAAAUUAUUUUAUCUGACUAAACUAAGUUAUUCUUUUUUCUCAAAGGCAUUAAUUAUUUAAUCCUAAAUGAAUUUAUUUAAUUUGUGUGAAAUUGAAAUUAUUAUAUUUGGACAAAUAAUAUAUCAUAUUAUUCUUUAUUUUUAUACUGUUUUAAUUUAUUUUAUAUUUUAUUUGGGAUAAAACACUUUUACGGUGUUUAAUUUAUUUUAGAUUUGUUUAGAAUUAUUUAUUUAAAUUUUAUUACUUGAUUAUGUAAUUAGUUUUGUGAGAAAUUGAUUUUAUUAAAAAUUACAGUGAUAAAUUAAUAAAUUAAAAUUAAGUUUCGGAUCAUUUCGAGUCGACUUGGCAGCCCGAAAUUUUCGGAUUCGUGUCAGGUAUCCUGACCCGUUUCGAGUUGGCGGGUCAGGUUUGAGUCAGCGGAUUUUCUGUUAUACCCGGAUCUCAACCCAAUCCGUCAACCUGAAUUUGACCCGAUUGCCACCCCUAAUUAUUCCUAUGAAUUGCUGCUAUUGCAUGACAACAAGGAAUUUCACUUAUGGCCCACAAUUUGCACGUGCAAUGUCUUUUUUUUAGGUCUACAGCAUAUUGGUCUCCUUUAGGGCCCUUUACUUGAUAACCAACAGCAGCAUUUCAAAUAGGAUUCAAGUGAAUUGAACGCUUCACCCUUUCAUCAACAAUUUUGAUGGGCAGUGGUCCAAUAGAACCCUUACAUUUCUCCAUGGCUACCUUUCUUUGUUGAAUCCUAUCCAUAAUAUACUCUCUGAUAGUCUCCAGUAGUGAAAUUACAGGCUGAUCUCUGGCUUCAAGGAUAUGAGCAUUGAAAGAUUCACAAAGGUUAUUGAUCAGCAUAUCACAUUUGGUAUGAGUUGGAAAAAAUGCCUUGCACCAAUGCCGAGGAUGACGUGCCUUUUUCACCAACUGUGUGCUUCCUUGUCAUAAGUCUCCAGAUUUGCCAUUGCCUCAUUGAAGUGCUCAGGUGUAGUACAGUAUGCAAUAUUCCAGAAUCUCUCAUUCAACACCUCUCCUGGAUGUUUUUUUUUUUAAUUUCUAUAUAAAUGCUGCACACAAUAUCGGUGCUCACAGUUUGGAAGCACCUCAGCUAAUGCUCUAUCAAGUCCCUGCAAUAUAAAAAGAAAAGUAGACAUUUGUCUUGACGAUAGAAACCAGAUUACAAUGAUAUCUACAAUAAUUAUAGUGCAUAACCUUUUGUUGAUCAGAGAUAAAAGUGUAGUGGUAUUGGUUUUGUAAUUCCAAAUCCUCACUCAACAACUUCAGAAACAAUGUCCAUUGUUCCGUGGCUUCUUUCUCCACAAUUGCCCAUGCAAUUGGCCAAUAACCAUUGUUAGAGUCCACUCCAAGAGCAGUAAGUAAUUGUCCUGGAUAAGUGCCUUUCAGAUGGCAUCCAUCUAAACCUAUAAUAGGGCCUACAACCAUCCUUAAAGCCUUGCUUAAGUGGCCCAAGGCAGCAGUAUAGUCACAUGAAUCUUGGAUUAACUGUGGGGUAAACAUGACCUCCAUAGUACUUCCCCCAUGUGUCUUCUUUAUCUCAUUACAAUAUUCCCAAAUCUUCUUGUAUUGUGCCUCUGCAGACCCCUUAAUAAGCUGUAUAGCCUUGGCUCUUGCUUUUCUACCCACCUAUUUAGAAAUCUCAACCUCAUAGUCCUCAUGAACAGUUUGCCUAAGCUCCCUAACGAGUAUUUUUGUGUUAGACCUGAUUCUCUCCAUAUACCUAUUGGAUAGCCACGUAGAAGUCAUGUUUUUAUUCUUCCAAGCGUGAUUGCAAUUCUCAUGCAUAUCAUGCAUUGUUUUUACCUCCAAAUCUGAUGUACCAAGUGCCAUCUCAAUUGAUGCAAAGACAAACCAAGGACAUGGUCUCUACAAACAACCCUCACCCUUUUGAUAUCAUUUUUGCAUGUCCAGACUGGUUUACCUUUUUUGAUACCAUAUUCGGUCACUGCUGCCUUGAAUUGUUGCCUUGACUCAAAUUUCAUCCCCAAUUCAAACUUGGGGUCUAUCAUGAAUUUAUCCCAUACAAAUCUCUUGUAUCUCCCUUCAAACUGGUUCUCAUCUUCAUCUGAUGAACUGUAAUCACUGCUUCAGUGAUCCGCUACAUAGUCUUCAUCCAAUGCAUUUGUCAGCCUCUCAGGAUAUGGACCUUCACCUACAGGUUUCUCUCUUCUUCUCCUCACUUGUUUCUUCCUUAAUUUUGGAUGCUAUGGUUGCUGAUUGUUGGUUUUCUGCUGAACUGAGGGCUGUUGGGGUUGUUGCUCAGCUCCUACUUGGUUUUUAGACUGCUGAUGCUUGUUUCUAGCAUGCAAAGACCUCUCAGAUGUAUUAUGCUGCUGUUCACCUCUUGUAUCCAGUUGCUGUUGGUCUCCUUCUCUAAUGAGGUUAUAAAGAAGCUGUUCAUCUGCACAAUAAUCAAUAUCCCAAGGAAACCUCUCUACUUUAGCAUAUGAUUCAGAUGCAACUUCACCAUCAAUAUCUCCCAUUGUCGUUGCAGGCCCCUCAUGUUUAGUGCCCUGUUGAUUCCUUGGAUUUUCAACAGUUGCUCCAUUCUCCCUUAAUGGUUGUGCUGAAGUACUUGUGUCAUUGUCAACAGUUUGCCAAGUUGACUAUGAUGCCCCUACUCCACUACGUACCAUCUGUAAACAAGGUUCCGCAACCACCCUACCUUCAUCAUCUAAUUCUUCGAUUACCAAAACCAUAUUUUUUCUGCUCUACUGAAUUACCCCUACCAGCCUCCAUCAAAAUUUGAUCAAUUUCUUCAAUUGUUAAGUUGUUACAGUAAACCUCCAUCACUUUAUAUUCAUAAGCCAAGGUACAAAAUUUGUUUACAUCAGCAUCUAUACACAAUUCCCUUAACCCACUGUUAAGAUUUUUAGUUGGUUCAAGAUAGUAAUACAUUAUGGUUUCCUGAUAUGACCUAGCUCCUCUACCAUUUCAUUCAGUUCAUGAAUUGACAUCCGUUCACAAUCACAUAAGUCUACAUGGUCCACAUCACCACCAACAUAACUUAUGUAACUUUCCCAACGAAUCUUUCCCCUGUGAUGCACUUAUAGUAAACCAUUCAGAUCUUGCAUCUAUAUUAACAAUUAUGAGUAAUCAUUAAUUAAUUUGGUAACUAAUUAAUUAACUCAUUAAUUUUGUAUAAAAGACCUUAAUCCCAAACCUAGGUCAAUAGGCACAAUUAAAAUAAUAUAUACUAAACUAAUCAACAAUAGAAAUUAAAUAAUUAGGCUAGCUCAACAGGACAAAGUAGUCAUGGCCCAGUAAAUUUUAUUAAUAUGCUUCAGGACCACUGGUGCUUAUUUAUAGACAGUGAACCCAUAUAUGGGACCACUUUCCUCCCAUAUUUGAGACAAAACACCCUCACAUUCAACCCCACAACCAAAAUAAAACUUCCUAUGUACUUAGCAAUCACUGUAACACAAAUAACCAUCAAUUGUUGCUCAUUUUUGCAGAACUUUGUACAGUUUAAGUGCACAUACCGUAUACUAACUGGGGGUCGAAGUAGACGCCCCUUCUCCUAAUUUUCCAUUCCACCAUUCCUCUGGGCAGACUUCAAACCCGAUCGUCUUUUUCUCUGCUGCAAAUCUCGUCACUGCAAGGAGUAUUUUAGGGUUCUUGUAGAGGCGGGUGAAGAAGAAGUUCCGCUAACAGUCCGAACUUUGAAGCUUUUGAGGGACUUUGCUGUUUUUUGUACAAUAGUGUCCCCAACAAAUGUUAUGAAAGUAGUCCGUGAUGUCUCUCCCGUCCAUCUUAACAAAUACAUUGGACGGAUGGAGUAGAAAUAUACAAUUUUUUUAAUUGGAGGACUACAUUUGCGCAAUUAUUAGUUGGAGGACUAAAACUGUGCAAAGUUAAAAGUUAGAGAACCACCGCGGUUUUUUGCUCAAAAUAAUUUUGUUCUACUUUGAAGGUCAACUUAGCACAUUUAAAAUAAAAAUAAUAAAAAAUAAAAAUAAACAACGGAAAUGAAAUGUGUAUACUCCUACAUCUCCAUGUGCAAGUUGAAUUUCCGCAAAGGUGGGGCUACCCCUUACAAUUUUUCUGAUUGAGGAUGUAAUAUAUAGUGAGAGGUUACAAUCAUGUUGAUUCAAUUUCGCAGGGAUUUUGAUUUCAAAUAAAGUUAUUAAUAUCUCAUCUCAUAAUCUAGAUAUACUACUCAUGAUAAGCCUGUCAUAUAAGUCAUAAGUCACUUUCCUUGAAUCACGAUUUUCCGUGGGUACUUGUAGAGUCAACUUACGCCUUUUUCUGUGUAAACUAUCAUACAUUAAUACAUUAAUGCUUUCACUUUUCAUGUAGUCUUGUAUAGCUGUCAAGCUACGUCCCCUUGGAUAUGAAUUCAAUCUAAAAAGGAUUCAGGAGAGCUACGUCCCCUCGUCACUUUUCAUGUAGUCAUGUAGUCCUGAAUCUAAAAAGCAUUCAGGAGAACCACACCAGAGCAGAGUUAAAAAGUGUUGAGAUAUGCCAACUUUUCCUACAAAUUUUGCUAGAUUAUAUUUGAUAUCAAAAUAAUUUAGUUAUUAGAAGAAUAAGGAUAUUUGCUAAUCAAAAAUCAUGUUGGUUUGUUAACAAAUAUAUUAGCUAAGAUUUGCUAGUAAAAAAAGAUUAUAUUUUGUUGAGAUUUUUAGGAUAAUUGUUAGUGGGAUAUUUUGCUAGUUUGUUUCAUGUAAUCACUAUAAAUAGUGAGUUGAUGAAUGUAGAACAUAAGCUCAUUUUUCACAUUCAAUACAAGUCUCUUAUAAGAUUUUUUUUUUUGCAACACUAAGGUGUUGUUUCUUAGUGUAUGCCCCAAAAAAUCAACAAAGUGGUAUCAAGAGCCUAAAUCUUAAGGGUCUGUUUCUUUGAGAGUUAGUGAAUCUGGUGAGAAUCCCUUUUUCACACUUAAGCCUUGAACAUCAAAAUGCCAGGAAAUAACUUCUUGUCUAAUCCUCCAAAUUUCACUAGUGAAAACUACCAAACCUGGGCUGUCAAAAUGAAGUCCUAUUUGAUGGCUAAUGAUCUUUGGGAUACGGUAGAAACAGAUUAUAUUCCUAAAUUGUCGGAAGAUCCAACUAUUGCAGAGAUGAGAGCCCAUAGGGAUGCAGUCAAAAUGAGAUCAAAAGCCAUGACAUGCAUUCAUUUAGCAGUUUCCGAUGCAGUAUUUACAAAAAUUAUGACUUGUGAAACUGCAAAGGAAACUUGGGAUGCUCUCAAAGUGGCUUUUCAAGACAAUGACAGAACAAGACAUAUGCAAGUUUUGAACCUUAGGAGAGAAUUUGAACUCCUUAGGAUGAAAGACAAAGAAAACAUUAAAGACUAUUCUGACAAACUCUUAAAUAUUGUGAACAAAAUCAGAUUGAUUGGAGAACAACUUCCGGAUAGCAGAGUUCUGGAGAAAGUCUUGGUGAGUUUACCAAAAAGGUUUGAAGUCAAAAUUUCCUCUCUUGAAGAUUCAAGGGAUCUCUCUUGGAUGACCUUGCCAGAAUUGAUCAAUGCUUUAGAGGCACAAGAACAAAGACGAGCCAUAAGAACUGAAGAAGUCAUUGAAGGUGCUUUUCAAGCAAUAAACAAGAAUCAAAUUUGACAAGGUGAAAGAAAUGAUCAAGAAACAAUAGCAAAGAUGAGAAGAAAAAUGACAGAAAUCUUCCGUGUCCACACUGUAAGAAAACCUCACAUCUUUCAAUAUAUUGUUAGUUUAGACCUGACAUUCAAUGUAACUUUUAUAAGCAAAUGGGACAUAUGGAGAGAGUUUGCAAAAAUAAAGGAAAAAGAGAACAUCACGCUCAGAUGGUUGAUGAACAAGAUGAGAAGCAACUUUUCGUGGCCACUUGUUUUACAAGCAAUAAUUUCAGUACUGAAACUUGGCUAAUAGACAGUGGUUGCACUCAUCACAUGGCAUAUGAUGAAUCUAUAUUUAGGAAACUUAAUAAAUCACAAAUUUCUAAAGUCAGAAUUGGAAAUGGAGAUUAUAUUGAGGUGAAAGGCAAAGGAAGUGUUUCUAUAGAUUAUGGUUCAGGUACCAAAAUUAUUUCUGAUGUUUUGUAUGUACCUGAAAUUAAUCAAAAUCUAUUAAGUGUUGGACAGUUAUUGGAGAAGAAUUAUUCUGUCAUCUUCAAAAACAGGACUUGUGUUAUACAUGAUCCAGUUGGGAAUGAACUUUUCUCAGUGAAAAUGAGAGGUAAAAAUUUUUCUUUGAAUUUGUCAGAAACUGACAAUUCUAAGGUGUAGUAUUAUGAACCAAAAAAUUCAGAUGUUACUAAAAUUCAGGAGGAGAUCAUUGAUGAGGCAAUUGAAGGAGGCUACAUUGUGAAAAUUCAUGAAAAGCUACCCAAGGAUGAUAGUGGUGACAAAGCUGAUAAAAGGCCAUGCAAAAAUUUGAAGGAUUGUUUUAUGUCUCUCAUAGCAAUUUUUUUUUGUAUUGCGAAUUUCUUCUUCAGGUUCAUCUAUUACGUAUGGGAGUUCCACUUUCAAGUUGCAAAGAAAUCAUUUGAAUACAUCAGAAAAUUUGGUAUUGAUUUUGAAGUUUGUCUCAAGAAACAUUGCAAGACUAAUGAUCAGAUUGCAGAUAUUUUUAUGAAAGCCUUGUCCAAAACAAGGUUCAAAGAUUUGAGAAGACAAUUCAAAAUCUGCAGCAAAAGUGGCAAGAAAGAGUGUUGAGAUAUGCCAACUUUUCAUACAGAUUUUGUUAGAUUGUGAGAACCCGUAAUUUUUUCCAUUUUCUAGGUUUUAUUAUCUUUCAUGGCUUGUUUUCUGCAUUUUCGUGAGCAGGAAAAAUUCUAGAUAUUUUUAAGGAGCAGAUAUAAUUUUUAAAUGAUUUUUCUAGUAUCAAAUAGGUUUUGAGAAAUUAAGAGCGUGUACCGGACGUGGGACCCAAUAGUGCGAAAAGUUCGAAAAAAUUCGGCCAACUAGAUUAAGUUUUGGAUACUGAAAAUAAUUUACCGGGUGUGAAGAGAUAAUUAGAGGAUGCUAAGUGGAUUGGUAUAAGAGAGACAAGUUAGGUAAGCAUUUAAUAAAAGGUGACAAGUGUCACCAUUUGAGUGGGUUUACCUUAAGACCACUAUUCAUGGUCUUACCAAGUGACUAAAUAAAUCAAAAACUACCAAAAUUUCUCCAUUUUCUCUUCUCUUGUGGCCGGCUUUCUCUCUCAAAAAGAAAGAAAGAAACUCUUCAAGUUUUGCUUCCAUUUAGCUCAAAUCAAUCCAACCAACCAUUGAAACUUGAAAUUUCUCCAUAAAACCUCUUCAAUUAGUGAUAGUGAGUUGAUUUGUGGGGUUAUUUGGAAAGCUAAGAGGACCUAUUGCUCCCUCUCUCUUGUUUCUAAGGUAAGUUGUGAAGAACCACUUUCCUUCCUCUAAUGAUGCUUAAUUUGUGAUUAGUGGUAGUAUAAGGUGCAAUAUUAUGAAUUACAUCUUGAUUUGUGGUUGAAUUAGUGAAGUUUUCUAUUUAUUGGUGAUUUUUCUGUUUUAAUAUGAACAUGAUUGUGUGUCUAUCUAUGAUGAUUGGAAAUGGUAUGUAAUGACUCUAGGAGGUGGAAAAAGUGAUUAAUUGCAACCAAUUUCUGUUUGGAAGAAAAAUUGACAAGUUAGGGUUUUUGUGAAGAACAUUCUGCCUGAUUUUGUAGCUCCUAGUUAGAGACCUAAUUGGCCUUAGCUUAAAACAUGAAAGUUGUAGGGAAUGACAUUUUAGAGGUUCUUGCAAAAUUUCAGGUCAAUCGGAGUAGCAUAGCAUGAGAAAAGUCAAAAUUACCCUUGCUGUCCUGGUUUUACCCAAAUUGGAGAAUUGCGUCUGUAAUUGGCUAUUUUGGUUAGGAAUGCUUCAGAAUUGGUUGUUGAGGUCUUCUGAUGAAAUGUAGCCCUGUUUCUAAGCUUUCGGAUGGCUUUGGAAUUACUGGAUUUGGAUUUCGGUAGCCUGAUUUAUGAUGUUUACGCCAGGAUACAUUUUGUAAACAUGUUUUUGCGAUUCUGGUGUAGUCUAUGGUAUUUUUGACCUGGUUGCUAUAGGAACUGGACUGAGUGACCUUCUGUAAUAUUGUAGCCCUAUCUUUUAGCUUCGAAACGGUGAGUCUUGUACCUUCAUCCGAUAAUUGUAGUGCCAUUGGCACCAAAACCGUAAAAUGACGUCAAAAACUAUUUUCUUGGGUUAAAGCUUAUUUCCAUUUCUGGAUUUUCUGAUUUCCUGUAAUGCUUGUACAUGCUUAUGGAACCUUAUUGGGGUCGUAUUUGGCAUUGGUUUAUGACUCCUUAUCGAGUCUCAUUGUACUUGUUUGCAUGUUUUAGGGCGUGACGGGGGUUCACGACGUUCUUUUGACGGAAGUGCAUGAAACACCAUUUGCAAGCUUGGUGAGUGUACUACUCACUUGUGUGUUAAUAUAUGGCUGUGAUACUUGAACUUGGUGCUUUGAAUGUUAAUUGCUUGAAGUGAAAGUGUACUUUAUCACUCUCACUUAUUGUUUAUCAUGUUAUUGGAAUGUUAUAUGAAAUGCUAGAUGAAAUGAAAGUACAUGGCUUGGUGUCGUUUGGACGAGCAUCCAACGACUACAAUUGUUAUCCUUGAGCUCAACCCCAUGGGUCGUUGAUUGAAUCGAGCCGGCGAGGGCUUGGUCGUGCCAAUUAAUGUGCCUUGGGAAAGUGUUAUAUGGAAUCUUGUAGUGUGAGAGACUCUCGAUUCCGGUUUACUCGAGUAAUACCACAAUGCAAGUGUUUGGAUUUCGGGCCCGAUAGGGGAAUGUUAGGUGGAAGUAAUGGAAGUAAAGUGGAGUCUACGGUUGGUUAUUUUUGAACAUUGACGGAGAGUCAAUGACGUCCAAUCAAGAAAUGCAAACGAGGGAAAAGGGCUCUUGAGAGCCAUCCGUAUCCUUUUAUCACCACCAUUAAUAUGUGCCUUUGUUUACUUUUGGUGAAUUGAAAUGAAAAGCUUUAUGUUUACAUGAACUUGGUUGCUUAAGUGAUAGUAUCUCACUGGGCAAUUAGCUCACAUCGUUCCUUUUGUUUUCCUUACAGGAAUAUGACUCUUUUUUUGGAAUGAAUCUUGAUAGAUGGUUGCUGAAAGAACUAGAUGAAUAUCUCUUUUGUAUUGUAUAUGAAUCGAAACCCUAAAUGUACCUUUAGGGCCGUUUCACUUUUGAUUUUGGCAAACCUUACAUGUAGUAGCUCUUGUAUCACUUUUGAAUGCCAUUUUGGCUUGUAAAUGCUAAAUGUUAUGUUGUAUAUGUAUUUUGAUGUUUGAUUGGGUUCUGACGGGUCGGUUACUAUUCGGGGCCGAUUCCGGAUUUCAUUUUUUUUAUUUUGGGUUAUUUUGCCCUUUUGACUUGUUUACGCGCGUUAUAAGUUCCGGAAUACAAUAGAUCGCUCUAAACUGCAUCGUUAGUCCUAGCGAGAGUUGGGCAGGCAGUCCGCCAACCCCUUUGGUUCGCCUUAGGGGAAGGUGGGCUGUCACAGGUGGUAUCAGAGUCUAGGUUUGAAUUAGCUUGGGUGUAAUAAAAAUGCUCGAUGUGAGGGUUCUUUAUUUAUGGCCUUUAAACUUAUUUAUGGUUAAUUGCUCUCUUGGUGUAGGAUGGCCGGACAGGGUGAGCCUAGUGAUAGUCCUCCGGACGAGAGACCUAGUGGAGCACUUCCAGUGAUACCAUACCAGAUACGGCCGGGAGGGGCCGUCGUGCGUUGGAGCCCGUCUAAUCGCCUUAGACGAUGCGAGUGUCGACAUAAGUAUGUCUAUCCUAACGCUCUAGUGUUGGCCGUGGCCGAGGAGCGUAAGGAAUUGGCCGCAGAUAAUGCGAGACUUGAGGCUGAGGUGACCCAGCUUAGGGCAGCCAAUGAGAGACAGGCCAAGCGCAUUAAUGGUCUGAAGUACGAUGUGCUUGAGGCAGAGGAUAGGGUUGAUGACCUCUGCACUCUGCUGAGGGAAGUCCAUGAGCGCGAGUCCAAGCUAGCUCGAAAGGUGAAGAAUCGAGCCGCUUCGAUCCUGAACCUUUGCGCCGAGGUGGUCGAGGGCGUGAGCGAUGAGGAAUCAUGUGCGGGGGCCGAAUCUGGGACUGGAUCUACCCCGUCGGGUGAAUCUACCCCGUCGAGGGGGUCUACUAGCCCAUCGACGGACUAGAUCUCGACUUUUAGUGUCUUUUGGGAUUGUUUUGUUUUGUAUAUAGGCGGAUAGGGAAAAGAGCCUUAACUAAUCGUUUUGUACUUUUGGAUUAGCUACGUGUAUAUUUCUUUUGUUGAGGCCAUUCCCUUGGGGAUUAUCCAUGUGUGUAUUUGGCUUGACUGUACUUGACUUGACUGAUUGUAUAUAUGUGUGUUGCUUGUCUUGCUUGGAAUGUAUAUAUCUGUUUGGCAAAGUUUUGGAUUUUUCUUACAUGCAUUGUUUUAUAUUGGUUUAGUACCAUUGUCUAGACCAAGUAAAGUUAUGGAAGGAACACGUAGUGGACGGGGACGUGGGCGCGAAAAUAGACAACCCACACCGGAUAGGGAUACUGGGGAAACCUCCUCUGGACCUAAUCCUGAACCGCAAGUGAACCCCAAUGUGCAAAUCGCUGCCGCUAUGCAGCAAAUGACCAACCUGCUGGCACAAGUGGUGCAGCAACAAGGCCAGAACCCAAACCCUAACCCCGGAAACCCUGGCAACCAUGUCGAGAGCGAAGACCGAGCUCUCGAACGAUUUCAAAAGUUUGCUCGCCCAAGUUCAUUGGGGGACCAGAUCCGGAUGUUGCCGAGAGAUGGCUCGAGAAGAUGGUCGAUAUUUUUGCGGCCUUGCACUACACCGAUGAACGGCAGGUGACUUUUGCCGUUUUCCAGUUAGAAGGGGCGGCCCGUUCCUGGUAGAACGUGAUACGACAAAAAUGGGAACGGGAACAAACGCUCAGGACUUGGGUGAAUUUCAUCAGGGAAUUCAACUCAAAAUUCUUCCCUCCUCUAGUUUAGGAGAAGAAGGAAGAUGAGUUUAUUCGACUCCGCCAAGGGGCUCAAUCGGUGGCGGAAUACGAGAGUCAAUUCACCCGUCUGUCCAAAUUUGCGCCUGAGUUGAUCAUGGCUGAGUAGCGACGGAUCAAGCGUUUCAUCCAGGGCCUGAACGUCGAAAUCCAGAAGGACCUCGCAGUGGCUCAAAUCAAUGCUUUUAGCGAGGUCGUAGAAAAGGCUCAAAGGGUAGAGAGUGCUCGAUUGCAAGUUCGGAACUUCCAGGCGAAAAAGCAGGACUUUCCUGGAAGCAGCCCCGGACAAGGGGACAAAGGUACUUCCUCCAAGUUUGGACGUGGAGCUGGAGGUGGACGACAGUCAGGUUCCGGCAGAGGGGCUCAGUCUAGGGGCGGCCCAGCCGGGAGAGGCCAAUGUGGAAACUUUCAAAAGGGUUCCGGUUCGGCGUCCCGCGGGCCUUGCGGGUACUGCGGAAAGCCGAAUCAUUCUGAACACAAUUGCUGGAAGAAGGGAGGCAAAUGUCUGCGUUGCAGAAGCAUAGACCACCAGCUUGCUACUUGCCCACUCUUAACGCAAGACGGAAGGGGAGCUCAAACCACGUCCAAGACCAAUACGGGACUGAAUAAGGGGAAUGAGGCGAAACCUAAAGUGCCAGCUCGGGUAUAUUCAAUAGAACCUCGACAGGUCCCGGAUUCCUCAGAGGUCGUAGAAGGUACGAUCCCUAUUUUUCACCGUUUUGCCAAAGUUUUAAUUGAUCCUGGUGCCACUCAUUCUUUUGUUAACCCUGAUUUCAUGUGUGGCAUCGAUAUAAAACCUGCUAGUUUACCAUACGACCUAGAAGUUAGUACACCCACGGGGAAUCAACGAUUGGUUACUAGUAUGGUUUAUAGGGAUUGUGAAGUGUGGGUAGGAAAGAAAAGAUUGUUAGGAGACUUGAUAAGUUUGGUCAUUAAGGGGUAUGACGUGAUUUUGGGUAUGGAUUGGCUCGCCAAGUACAAUGCCGAACUGGACUGUAAAACAAAAGUGAUAGAAUUCUGCAUCCCUGGCGAGACAACCAUAAGGUUGGACAUAAGGGGGAGGUUAGCCUCAUCUGCUUUGAUUUCGGGCAUUCGGGCUAGAAAAUUGGUAAGUCGAGGGGCGCAAGGAUUUUUGGCUUUUUUGAUCAACACCCCUACAGAUAAAGUGAAGGUAGAAGAUGUGGCCAUAGUGAAGGAAUUUCCGGACGUGUUUCCUGAUGAAUUAGUAGCCUUACCUCCGGAAAGAGAAAUUGAAUUCAAAAUAGACCUGCUACUGGGAUUCUCACCUAUCUCAAAAAUACCAUACCGAAUGGCUCCUGCCGAACUCAAAGGAGCUGAAGUUACAAUUACAGGACCUUCUGGAGCGGGGAUUCAUUCAUGAGAGUGGGUCUGCUUGGGGAGCUCCUGUACUGUUUAUGAAGAAAAAGGAUGGUGGGUUGAGGAUGUGUAUCGAUUAUCGGAGCCUGAAUAAUAUUACAAUUAAAAAUAAGUAUCCACUGCCCCACAUCGAUGAGCUAUUUGACCAGUUGCAGGGAGCGGUGGUUUUCUCGAAACUGGACCUCCGCCAAGGGUACUACCAGUUAUUAAUCAGGAAGGAGGAUAUUCCGAAAACCGCUUUCAACUCGAGAUAUGGGCAUUUCGAGUUCGCAGUGAUGCCCUUUGGGCUGACCAAUGCUCCUGUCGCCUUCAUGGACCUAAUGCAUAAGGUGUUUAAGCCCUACCUGGAUCGAUUUGUAGUGGUGUUCAUCGAUGACAUCCUGGUCUAUUCCAAGACCCGUGAAGAGCAUGAGCAGCACUUGAAGAUUGUCUUACAAACCCUGAGAGACCAUCAAUUGUAUGCCAAGUUUAGCAAGUGCGACUUUUGGCUGGAGAAAAUCGCUUUUCUAGGGCACGUAAUUUCGCAAGAGGGUAUUUCGGUCGACCCGGCAAAAGUAGAGGCUGUGACCAAUUGGAAGAGGCCAGAAAAUCCCACAGAGGUCCGUAGCUUUCUAGGACUGGCUGGAUAUUAUCGGCGUUUCAUCAAGAACUUUUCCAAACUGGCCGGUCCUCUAACUGAUUUGACGAAGAAGCAUGGUCGAUUCAGUUGGAAUGCCCGAAGUGAGACAAGUUUUCAAGAGUUAAAGAAACGAUUGACCAUGGUUCCAGUUCUAGUCUUACCUAACGGAGGUGACGGGUUUGCUGUGUACACUGACGCGUCACGAGAAGGCCUGGGUUGUGUAUUAAUGCAAAAUCGAAAUGUGAUAUCUUUUGCCUCGAGAAAAUUAAAACCCCACGAGCAGAAUUACCCAACCCAUGAUCUGGAGCUAGCUGCCGUUGUUUUCGCUCUUAAAAAGUGGAGACAUUAUCUAUAUGGGGUAACCUUUGAGAUUUACUCCGAUCACAAAAGCCUGAGGUAUCUCUUCUCACAGAAGGAAUUAAACACGAGGCAGCGACGGUGGAUGGAAUUUCUGGAGGAUUAUGACUGUACCAUCAACUACCAUCCAGGAAAAGCAAACGUAGUGGCCGAUGCCCUAAGUCGCAAAGCUUAGGUCGCAAGCUUAAUGAUUAAAGAGUGGAAUUUGCUUGAGUCGGUUUGUGAGUGGAAACCCAGCCUGGGGAGCCAUAAGGUGAUUUUUGACAAUAUUAAAGUGACUUCCACCCUUUUGGAAAGGAUUAAAGAAGCUCAAAAGGAAGAUUCACUGGUGCAGAAAUGGGGAGAGAAAAUGGAAAAAAGAGAAGCAACUGAUUUCAAUUUUGGUCCUGAGGGUAUUUUAAAAUACCGAAACCGAAUAGUGAUGCCGAAAGAUGAAUCAUUGAAAACGGAGAUUCUAGAGGAAGCCCAUCGGUCCAAGUAUACAAUCCAUCCGGGUAGUAGCAAGAUGUAUCAAGACCUGAAAGGAACAUAUUGGUGGGACAAUAUGAAGAAGGAAAUGCGCUAUACCUGCAAAAAUGUCUCGUUUGCCAACAGGUGAAAGCGGAGCAUCAAAAACCAUCGGGCUUGUUACAACCCCUUGAGAUACCUGAAUGGAAGUGGGAAAACAUCACCAUGGAUUUCGUCUCAGGUUUGCCGCGGACGCAAAGAGGGCACGAUGCCGUUUGGGUAAUCGUCGACCGGUUAACCAAAUCGGCCCACUUCCUGCCAGUGAAUAUGAAGUAUAUUCCAUGGACAAGUUGGCCCAACUGUACAUGGAGGAGAUUGUAAAGCUGCACGGUGUUCCGGUGAGCAUCGUCUCCGAUCGAGACCCACGUUUCAUAUCUCGGUUUUGGCAGAAGUUCCAGGAGACUUUAGGGACUAAACUCAAUUUAAGCACCACCUAUCACCCUCAGACGGAUGGACAAUCGGAGCGAACAAUCCAAACUCUCGAGGACAUGCUACGGACUUGCAUUCUGGAUUUUGGAGGCAACUGAGGUCAACACAUGACCUUAGUAGAGUUUGCGUACAACAACAACUACCAUUCGUCGAUUCAAAUGGCCCCAUACGAGGCACUAUAUGGACGAAAAUGUCGGUCACCGAUCUACUGGGACGAAGUUGGCAAGAAAAAGGCACUAGAUCCAACAACUAUUCCAUGGAUGGAGGAGGCGCGAGAAAAUGUCAAGUUGAUACGGCAACAACUCCAAACAGCUCAAAGCCGACAAAAGAGCUAUGCGGACAAUCGAAGGAAAGACUUGAAGUUCGAAGUUGGAGACCGUGUUUUCCUCAAGGUUACACCGUUACGGAGCGUCACGACGGGUAAAGGAAAGAAAUUACAACCGAGGUUCGUUGGACCGUACAAGAUCCUCCAGAGGGUAGGAGCGGUAGCGUAUCGAUUAGAGCUGCCGUCCAGUCUCUCUCGAAUUCACGACGUUUUCCACGUCUCAAUGCUCAAGAAAUACUAUCCCGACCCAUCCCAUAUCUUGCAACCAGAAGAGAUCGACGUAGACGAGUCCCUUGCUUACGAAGAAAAAUCUAUCCAAGUGCUUGACCGGAAAGUCAAGGAGCUGAGAAAUAAGCAGAUUCCGUUGGUUAAGAUACUGUGGAGAAAUCAUGGGGUAGAGGAAGCUACCUGGGAAGUGGAAGAAGAAAUGCGAAAGAAGUACCCUGAACUUUUCGUGAGUUAAGGUAAGAAAUUUAGAGAGCGAAAUUCUUUUAAGAGGAAGAGAGUGUGAGAACCUGUAAUUUUUCCCAUUUUCCAGGUUUUAUUAUCUUUCAUGGCUUGUUUUCUGCAUUUUCGUGAGUAGGAAAAAUUCUAGAUAUUUUAAAGGAGCAGAUAUAAUUUUUAGAUGAUUUUUCUAGUAUCAAAUAGGUUUUGAGAAAUUAAGAGCGUGUACCGGACGUGGGACCCACUAGUGCGAAAACUUCGAAAAAAUUCGACCAACUAGAUUAAAUUUUGGAUAUUGGAUGUAAUUUACCGGGUGUGAAGAGAUAAUUAGAGGAUACUAAGUGGAUUGGUAUAAGAGAGACAAGUUAGGUAAGCAUUUAAUAAAAGGUGACAAGUGUCACCAUUUGAGUGGGUUUACCUUAAGACCACUAUUCAUGGUCUUACCAAGUGACUAAAUAAAUCAAAAACUACCAAAAUUUCUCCAUUUUCUCUUCUCUUGUGGCCGGCUUUCUCUCUCAAAAAGAAAGAAAGAAACUCUUCAAGUUUUGCUUCCAUUUAGCUCAAAUCCAUCCAACCAACCAUUGAAACUUGAAAUUUCUCCAUAAAAUCUCUUCAAUUAGUGAUAGUGAGUUGAUUUGUGGGGUUAUUUGGAAAGCUAAGAGGACCUAUUGCUCCCUCUCUCUUGUUUCUAAGGUAAGUUGUGAAGAACCACAUUCCUUCCUCUAAUGAUGCUUAAUUUGUGAUUAGUGGUAGUAUAAGGUGCAAUAUUAUGGAUUACAUCUUGAUUUGUGGUUGAAUUAGUGAAAUUUUCUAUUUAUUGGUGAUUUUUCUGUUUUAAUAUGAACAUGAUUGUGUGGCUAUCUAUGAUGAUUGGAAAUGGUAUGUAAUGACUCUAGGAGGUGGAAAAAGUGAUUAAUUGCAACCAAUUUCUGUUUGGAAGAAAAAUUCACAAGUUAGGGUUUUUGUGAAGAACAUUCUGUCCGGUUUUGUAGCUCCUAGUUAGAGGCCGAAUUGGCCUUAGCUUAAAACAUGAAAGUUGUAGGGAAUGACAUUUUAGAGGUGCCUGCAAAAUUUCAAGUCAAUUGGAGUAGCGUAGCAUGAGAAAAGUCAAAAUUACCCUUGCUGUCCUGGUUUUACCCAAAUUGGAGAAUUGCGUCUGUAAUUGGCUAUUUUGGUUAGGAAUGCUUCAGAAUUGGUUGUUGUGGUCUUCUGAUGAAAUGUAUCCCUGUUUCUAAGUUUUCGGAUGGCUUUGGAAUUACUGGAUUUGGACUUCGGUAGCUUGAUUUAUGAUGUUUACGCCAGGAUGCAUUUUGUAAACCUGUUUUUGCGAUUCUGGUGUAGUCUAUGGUAUUUUUGACCUGGUUGCUAUAGGAAUUGGACUGAGUGACCUUCUACAAUAUUGUAGCCCUGUCCUUUAGCUUCAAAACAGUGGGUCUUUCACCUUCAUCCGAUAAUUAUAGUGCCAUUGGCACCAAAACCGUAAAAUGACGUCAAAAACUGUUUUCUUGGGUUAAAGCUUAUUUCCAUUUAUGGAUUUUCUGGUUUCCUGUAAUGCUUAUACAUGCUUAUGGAACCUUAUUGGGGUCGUAUUUGGCAUUGAUUUAUGACUCAUUAUCGAGUCUCAUUGUACUUGUUUGCAUGUUUUAGGGCGUGACAGGGGUUCACGACGUUCUUUUGACGGAAGUGCAUGAAACACCAUUUGCAAGCUUGGUGAGUGUACUACUCACUUGUGUGUUAAUAUAUGGCUGUGAUACUUGAACUUGGUACUUUGAAUGUUAAUUGCUUGAAGUGAAAGUGUACUUUAUCACUCUCACUUAUUGUUUAUCAUGUUAUUGGAAUGUUAUAUGAAAUGCUACAUGAAAUGAAAGUACAUGGCUUGGUGUCGUUUGGACGAGCAUCCAACGACUACAAUUGUUAUCCUUGAGUUCAACUCCAUGGGUCGUUGAUUGAAUCGAGCCGGAGAGGGCUUGGUCGUGCCAAUUAAUGUGCCUUGGGAAAGUGUUAUAUGGAAUCUUGUAGUAUGAGAGACUCUCGAUUCCGGUUUACUCGAGUAAUACCACAAUGCAAGUGUUUGGAUUUCGGGCCCGGUAGGAGAAUGUUAGGUGGAAGGAAUGGAAGUAAAGUGGAGUCUACGGUUGGUUAUUUUUGAACAUUGACGGAGAGUCAAUGACGUCCGUCAAUGACGAGGGAAAAUGGCUCUUGAGAGCCAUCCGUAUCCUUUUAUCACCACCAUUAAUGUGUGCCUUUGUUUACUUUUGGUGAAUUGAAAUGAAAAUCUUUAUGCUUAAGUGAUAGUAUCUCACUGGGCAAUUAGCUCACAUCGUUCCUUUUGUUUUCCUUACAGGAAUAUGACUCUUUUUAUGGAAUGAAUCUUGAUAGAUGGUUGCUGAAAGAACUAGAUGAAUAUCUCUUUUGUAUUGUAUAUGAAUCGAAACCCUAAAUGUACCUUUAGGGCCGUUUCACUUUUGAUUUUAGCAAACCUUACAUGUAGUAGCUCUUGUAUCACUUUUGUAUGCCAUUUUGGCUUGUAAAUGCUAAAUGUUAUGUUGUAUAUGUAUUUUGAUGUUUGAUUGGGUUCUGACGGGUCGGUUACUAUUCAGGGCCGACUCCGGAUUUCAUUUUUUUUUUGGUUAUUUUGCCCUUUUGACUUGUUUACGCGCGUUAUAAGUUCCGGAACACAAUAGAUCGCUCUAAACUGCACCGUUAGUCCUGGCGAGAGUUGGGCAGGCAGUCCGCCAACCCCUUUGGUUCGCCUUAGGGGAAGGUGGGGCUGUCACAUAGAUUAUGUUUGAUAUCGAAAUAAUUUAGUUAUUAGAAAAAUAAGGAUAUUUGUUAACCAAAGAUCAUGUUGGUUUGUUAACAAAUAUAUUAGCUAAGAUUUGCUAGUAGAAAAAGAUUAUAUUUUGUUGAGAUUUUUAGGAUAAUUAUUAGUGGGAUAUUUUGCUAGUUUGUUUCAUGUAAUCACUAUAAAUACUGAGUUGAUGAAUGUAGAACAUAAGCUCAUUUUUCACUUUCAAUACAAGUUUCUUAUAAGUUUUUUUUUUUUUUUUUUUUGCAACACUAAGGUGUUGUUUCUUAGUGUAUGCUCCAAAAAACCAACAAAAAGGAUUCAAGAGCAGCAUGAAAUCUUGGGACUCCAGCGAAACACCCCUCAUUGGAGAGUUGUUCCCAACUUUCCACAAACCCCAGCAUCAUGACAAUGAAUGACCGAUUGUAAAGGCAUUCUUCAAAUCAGGAGCUUGAAGAAGUUUUGGAACAUCAUCAGUCUUUGGUCUACGAUCCAUGAACUUACGAACUAGGGACAAAUUUUAAAGGAGCAGACAAUUUCUAAAUAUCCUCCUUGGAAAAGAGAGUUCGCUGAUUCUCCUCUAAGUGAAGCAACCUAUUUAAGGGUAACAAGUGGAGGAGUAGAAUCUGAAAACACUUCUGAAGAGGUUUUUUCUGGUGAAGGCAGAUUUGCCGGAUGGCCUCCAGUCAAUGGCUGAAGGGCCCCCAUUGAAGAAAGCUUGCUAAAAAUUCAAAAAGUAGGAUUUCCAGAUAACCAGAUGGGGAUUAGAAUCCCCCUCAACCAGAGGGGCUCCGCCAUUGAAGCACUAGAGAGGGUUUGAGAUUUGAGAAGCUAGGAGGGAGAAAGGGAUUAGAAUCUUGGACCUCAAUUUCAGUCACUAGAUCAAGAUUUCUUCAACUCAUCUCGAUCAAGAUUUUAACUAAGACUUUAAACUAAAGUAUAUUCCUUGUAUAUUUAAAGAAGAGAAAAUCAUUUAAAACGUUCCUUAUAUUUUGUAAAAUGACUUUUUUCGUCUCUCACUUUUGAAAGUGUAAUUUUACGUCCCUUACAAAUUUACAUUGAUCAAAUUUGGUCCCUACCUAGGUUUUCGAUUAGUUUUUUAUCGGAAUUCAUCACGUGCCUCGCACGUGAUUAUUUUUAAGGGUAAAAUUGUCAAAUCAAAUUUUACAUAAUUCAAUUCAUAAUCUCUCACAUUUCACAAAAUAAAUUUUUUUGUCCCUAAUAUUUUACAAAAUGAAUUGUUUCGACCCUCACAUUUCACAGAAUGAAUUUUUUCAUCCCUCAUUGAUCAUGUGCACAAUUAGUUUUUUUUUUCUUUAAACCCAUAUAUAUAUAUAUAUAUAUUUGAUUUCAUCUAAACAAUAUAAAUAGUAUGUAAUAUAUUUCAAUUUGAUUUCAUCUAAACAGGCUAUUCGUAGUUGUGCACAUGUUAUUCAAUAAAUAUAUACAGGGGUUUAAAACUAAUAAUUUUAUUUUAAACCCAUGUAUAUAUCUAUAUAAUUUCACCAUGUGUACCUAUUCAACAUUUAUGGCUUUUCUCUUUUGGUAAUAAUUUAUUUAUUGAGUUGUAUAAAAAGACCAUCUAAUUAAUAGGUUCUAAAUCGAAUUCUAUAAUUUUGCUAAUAAAUUGCAAUUUAAAUCUGAAUUUCUACUCACCACUUUUAAGAAUAACAAUUGAAUCACUUAUCUUGUGAUUGUCUUAAAAUUUGAAAGUGUCAAUCAUUUACUUCUUUUUGUCAUAGUUUUAUUUUAUUUAUUUUUUCUGUCCAAAUUUAAUUCGAUAUAAACAUGCGACAAUAUUUAGGAUUAAAUGUCUUCUUUGUUUUCAAUUUUUGAGUAAAAGGAAAUGAAUAUGAGUGAAAAACUAUCAAUUUCUUUUAAAUUCCUAUAUAUGUAUCUAUUUGAUUUCAUCUGAAUAGCAUAUAAUAUAUCUCUAUUUGAUUCGUCGGGUGAAGUCAAAUAGAGAUAUAUUAUAUGCUAUUCGUACUACUCAGGUAAAAUUCAAUAGAUAUAUACGUGGAUUUAAAAAAAAUUAUUCACAUACAUGAUCAAUGAGGGAUAAAAAAAUCCAUUUUAAAAAAUGUGAAGAAUGAAAAAAAUUCAUUUUGUGAAAUGUGAGGGAUGAAAAAAUUCAUUUUGUGAAAUGUGAGAGACUAUGAAUUGACUUAUGUAAAAUUUAAUUUGACAAUUUUGCCCUUAAAAAUGAUCAUGUGCAAGGCAUGUGAUGAAUUCCGAUCAAAAACUAGUUGGAAACUUAGGUAGGGACCAAGUUUGAUCAAUGUGAAUUUGUAAGGGAUGUAAAAUUACACCUUUAAAAGUGGGGGAUGAAAAAAGUUAUUUUGCAAAAUGUGAGGGACAUUUUGAACAAUUUUCCCUUUAAAGAAAAUGUGGAAUGGUUUUAGUCAUCUUUUUUCUCCCUUUUUGAUGCUAACAAAAAAGAAGUAGAUCAAAAAUUUUCAUCUCCCCUUUUUUUACGCUCUUAUAAAUACUAAAACAAGAGAGAGAAAAAGGAAAAGAAAUCAACUUUCCAGAAAAAAAAGAGAGGAUAAAAAAAAAGAAUCCAAUUUUCUCAUUAUUUUAAUAUCAAUCUUUGCUCCUCCACCAAUUACCUAAUUCCAACUCUGACGAAUAUAAAGUAAUGAUAAUAUUGGAUUAUUCCUUAUUUUCUCAGUUUCCAAAAUUGAAUUUUAUAUCUCCCUCUUCGAUCUCUUUCUUCUUCUUUUUUUUUUGGUUGGUAUUAAUUGAGUUAAAAGAAAAGAAAAGAAAAGCCCUUUUACUUUUAUUUUCAAGGUACUAUUAUAGUGAAAAAAAAUAACAAUUCCAAAUUUUUAAUUUUUAAGUAUAUCUAAAGGGACGGUGUUUUCGUUGAAAAAUCAUUAACACACUGAAUCGGCUUAAUAACGCUUUAAAAUACCUAAGAUAAUGUUUAGGGGUAAAUUGAUAUUAAAACUGCAGUUUAUGGGGGUAAAGUCAUAAUAACUCUAUACUUGUGCUAUGAGAGAGAAGGGUAUUUAUGUCAAAAUUUCAACAUGUUGAGUUGACUUAACUUUGAAGGUAAAGUAAUUAAAAAAAUAACAUUAUAGGUUAAGCUAAUAAUAACCCUUAGUAUAACAUUAAAAUUUAAAGUCUCAACUAUGGAAACACUACAAAAAAAGGAAACAAAAGGCAACCCAAAAAGACAUUCAAGAUUCUAUCUAUGCUUAAUUGAGUUGGACUCAAAAAAAUACAAAGGAAAGAGGAGGAAUAGUAGGGAAAAAAAAAAAAAAGAAAUCAAGAGACAUGGCUUCCUUUUGUGUUUAGAAUUUUUUUCUACUAUAAUUUGUAUCUUAUCAAUUAUUUAGACAAUUAUUUUGUUCUAAGUGCGUGCUUUAGACUUAGGGAAAUGUUUUUUACACUCUCUUUUUUGUUAUUUAGACUCCCAUUAUCAUUUUUAUUAUAUAUUUCUCAUUAAUUAGACUAUAUGAUAUAACAAAUGGUGAGAGUAUAAAUAACAAAAUAUGGAGUGCAAAUAAUAUUUUCCUAAAUUUAUUAUAUAAAUUGCCACUUUGUAAUAAUACAUGACAAAAAUAAACACACCCAGUUAUAUUAAUAAAUUGGGUAAAAAACAAAAAAACCCCCUGUGGUAACCUAAUAUAUAGAAAAGCCCCCUGUGAUUUCAAAAUAUACAACACGACACCCCGUACUUUGAACUAAAUUGUAAAGGUGACGGAAUCCGAUAAACUUAACGGAAAUGGACGAAAUGACCAAAAUGCCCUAAUAUAAUUAAGCAAAGGACAGUUCAAAAAAAUCAUUUGUUUUAUUUUCUAGAUAGAAAGAAUUGAGGAUUAAGGGGUAAAACAGAUAUAUUUGUUAAAAAUUAGGUAUAAAAAUUUUUUUUUAGAUUCCAAUAAGUCAUUUCUGUUAAGUUUAACGGAUUCCGUCACCUUUACAAUUUAGUUCAAAGUAUGGAGUUUCGUGUUGUAUAUUUUGAAACCAUGGGGGACUUUUUUGUAUAUUAAAUUUAUCACAUGGGGCUUUUUUGUAGUUUACCCUAAUAAAUUAGCUGUUAGCUAAUUUAGUAGUUCGUCACAUGGAUUUGAUUAUAAGUGAAUCAUGACUAUUUUUAUUGGUUGAUACAUAGAAUUGCUAGUUACCUAUUGGUUGAAGUUUGAUUUUGAUUUCUUUUUGAUAAAAAGUAAAUUUCAGUAAUAAAUUGCUAGAAACCAUUCAGCAUGAUUUGAUUUAUGUCACUGUCCUAAUUCCAGGUAAAAUAUGCACUAUAACAAGUACAAUAGAUCUAAAAAACUAUGAACAAAUAAAAAACAAGAAAUUUUAAAAUUAUUUUCUAAUAAGAAAAAUUGCUCAGCAUCUUUCUGUGCAUGUUAUAAUAGUUAGAUAUACUAAUCAAUGGUUUUAAACUCUAAUAAUGAAAAUAAGAUUUGUCGAGAAAGACCCAAAUUUCAAAAAAAAAAAAAUCCAUCCUAGAGCUAGUUAGAAAUAGAAUUGAGAUCUAAAAAACUUCUUGAUCUUGACAACCAGACUUGAAUUUAAUAAUAACUAAAUGGGGGAAAAAACAAUACAAAAAUCUCAUCAGGAACUCCUAGAAAAAUAGAAUAUUCUCAUUAGGAACCCUUAAGAGAAACAAAGAAUAUUUUGAUUUUAUUAUGCUUUAUUUGCUAGAAUAUUGUUAUAUAUAUUUAAUUAUUUGUGCCCCCUCAGCUGUCGCGCCCCAUUUUUUCGCGAUGGCGAAAUAGAAUAAAGGUGAUUUAUAAAAGAUGUAAUUUUACUUAAAAAUAAGUGAAAAAAGGACCAAGGAUGGGACUUUAAAAAAAUGCGACAAUUUGGGUCCAAAAAUUUGGUCUAAAAGGGGUUUUUAAGAAAAAAAGGAGUCGCCACUUGGUAUUGAGUUUGGGUGUACCAAGUCACCCCAAAAAUAUAUAUUUUUGUUGAGAGAAAUAAAAUAACAAAAAACCCUUUUUGACAACUCCAGAUCUUUGAAAAACAAGAGAAAAUGGGUUCGAGAAUCAUGGUUGAAGAAAGGGAAGGCAAAGGUUCGAUUAACUCAAACCUUAGGCACCCUUUCAACCUAGUCUAAACUAGUUGCGAGGUUUAGUCAAAAUUUUCCUAAUCUAACCCUUAAUUUUAUCUUAUUUGGAUGUUUCCUAUGUGGAUGCAAAUCUAAAUUUAUAAAAUAUCGAAAGGGACAAAAUAUCCAUUCAAGGGUUUAAUCGAACCAAUCGCAUUAAUUGCGAAAGCCAAAAUGAUUCCUUGAAAGUAUCACGAGUAUGCGAAUGAUGAAAUUAAAAUAAAAUAAAAUAAAAUAAAUUAUAUACAUAUAUAUAAGUGAUCAAAGAAAAAGGGAAUACAACAUAAAGGGUACGGGAGGCAAAAACUUGUGACAUAAUUUUCUUAUACAUGGAUUAAUAGGGUAUUUAAACUAAAAAUUUAUAAUCACUCAUUUCCCAUGUUUGAAAAAUAAUUAUCCUAACAUGAACAAGCAAAUGAACUAGCUUAAAUGAGAUGCAAUUCUAAAUGACAUGAUUAGCACCUAUAGAGGGUAGGGGAUAAUAUAAUAGGGAAUAUCAUGCAAAUGAGAAAAGAUCUUAAAAAUAAAAAUAUGCAUGAAAAUGUAGUGAAUAACACACAAAGAUGAAUCUAGCGCAAGACGAUCUAAAAGGUCUAGCAUUGGACUAGUCCAUUUCUAAAAAUUCUUGCUAGCGUUGGACUAGCAAGUAAGCGGAGGGAGAAACCACAACUAGCGUUGGACUAGUGUGGUGACGUCAAGCAUUAAUAAUUCAUAGUGAAACAAAUAAAGAAUAAAUUAAAACAAAUAAACACAUAAGAGCACGUAGCACAUAACACGUAAACAUAAUAUCUAGAUGCCAAAAUCCUAAGAAAAACGGAUAAAACACAUAACACAUAAGCCACAUAAACAUGCAACCUAUCUAUUACAUCGGGGAAUCUAACUACAAUCUAAAAUGGGAAAAUAAAAUAAAAAAAAAUAGUUAUCCUAUCUAUUACAUUUUUGAGAUAUUUAAAUGACUCUCGAAUAAUUAUAAAAAUUGACUAAACAAAUAUAAUAUAAGAAAAUUUAAAUGAACAUUUAAAUCCAAUAAAUAAAGCAUAUAAAAAUAUAUAAACACAUAGGAACACAUAGGAGCACAUAAGAGCACGGAAUUGACAUUGAAAUAAUAAAAAUAGGAGUACCUUCCAUUUGAAGUGGUGACUAAAUGGAGUCAAAUUGUCCUAUUUAUACUCACAAUGAACAAAAGAAUCAUGGCACCAAUUUAAUUGAAAAAAAAUAAUAAUAAAAGUACUAAAUUCACACUAAUAUGUCAAACGUAAAGAAAUUUAAGAAAAUCUAAAAAUUACAAGUUAAGUAUAUUCAAAAGUAGCAUAAUUAGCUAUUAAAGAAAAGAAACAAUCAUAAUAAAGAGAGUCAAAAUUCAUCAGGGACUGAAUUGCAAAAAAUGAAAAACUUUUGGGGAUAACAAUUAUAUUUUUCCAAAGUUUAGAGGUCAAAAUUAAAUAAAAAAUAAAAUUCAGGGACAAAGUACAAUUAAUUUAAGGACCUACAUGAAAGAAAUUUAAAAUGUUCUGAGCCGUAGUGAAACUACUCCAAAGAUCAGGGGCUAAAGUGCAAAUUCGCUAGCAGAUCUUCUUAAGAAAACAGGUCCCUGAGCCAUCAUUUUAUUUCUUUAGGCCGAACACUACCUAAGCCCAGCCGAAAGUCCAAGCCAGAACACACAGGCCAGCCGGCCUUCUAUCACUCAAACCCAACAAAAAAUAAAGCAUGGGUCUGACCUUCUAGCCCAACCGAAACUAAGAAACAAGCCCACUAAAAAAAAAAAAAAAAAAAUAGCCCAAACCACUUUCCCUUUUCUUUUCUUUCCUUUCUUUUCUUUUUUUUCUUUUCUUUUCUUUUCUUUCUUUCUUCUUCCUCCACUUCCAGCCGUUUCCUUCCCUUCUUCUGCUGAAGAAGCUUCAGCUGGCGGCCAUGGCGGCCGCCGGCGGUACCACCGCCGGACCGCUGGGCGCCGGCGACCUCUCCGAUCGCCAAAAUUUCUCAAAAUACACCUCCACACUCCAUUUUUCGCGUAGAUUCCAUUUCCGGAUUUAGUUUUUACAAAAGAUUAUCCGAAAGUGGCCAAAAUGUCAAAAUACAGUCCAGUUUUUAUUUUUUUAAAACACCCAAAUCUUCACCAAAAAAUAUAAAAUUUAUACUACAACACUCCUUGUGAUUUUUACAACCUAACUAUCAACUAAAAUCAAUAAAAGUAACAACAGAUAUGACAAAAUUAAACCAAAACAGUCCGAAAAAUAACAAAAAUCCUUCAAAACUUUUAACACUCAAAACUCCAAAAUUUUUUUGAAUAACCACACAUUUUCAGACCUACACUAGCAAACGGUCACCUAUUUGACAAGAAAAACAUGUACAAUGUUAAACUUUUUAAUUCGUUUGUUAUUUUGGCAUUUUUUCAAACGGUUAAUAUGCAUGCAUGAGAAACAUUUCCUUUUCCUUCAUCUUGUUCAUGCCAUUUCCCAAAUUUCAGCAAUGCAACAACAACAAUAAAAACCAGCAAACAAGAGAAAUUAAUAUACAACCACAACAAUAAUUAAAAAAAAAAAACAGCAAAAGCAAGAGAAAUUAGACAUUGGAACAUGGAUUGUAAUAUGAUAGAAAGAAAACUAGAAAAUACCUCAAUGUAGGUGGUAGUUCCUUGACCAAAAUGUUUGAUACAAUUUCCACACCUUGAGCGUAUCUCCCUGGCUCCCAAAGUUUCUUUCGUCUUGCCUUUUCUGUCCGUUGAGAGCUUAAGGAAGCCAAAAUGGGGAGCUUUGUUCUUGUGUGUUUUCUGGUGGGAGUCAAAGAAAGGGCCGAGAGAUGUAUAUUGAGAGGGAGGAAGAGUGGAGUGUUUUGUGUGUGGUCUAUUGAGAGAGAGCCGAGAGCCGAGAGCCGAGAGUUGUCUGGGAGCUAGAGUACUUUUUUUUUUCUUGUCUGUUCCGUUUUUUAGCCCCGAGAGAGCCGAGAGAGUGAGUAUUGGGAGAGAAAAAGAGGAGUUUGUGUGUUGGAUUUACCAAAAUGAUGAUUUCUUAGCUAAUGAAAAGAAAGGUGCAUGGUCAUUGACUGUGGAAUGGGUUAAUAGUUGUUUUGGUAGGGAAAAUGAUUGUGAUGAUUUUUUUUAUUUUCUCUUCUCUCUUUUUUUUUGCUUAUGUUUUUUUUUUGUUUGUGUGUUUUUUUUUCCAAACAAACUUGCAAAAAAUAAGAACAAUGCACAUUAAAAUGUAAGAAAAUAAAUAAAUUACUAAAUAGAAAAAAUUCAAGAAAAUGUUAAAAUUUUGACAAAAUUUUGGUGUCUACAUCAGCCUUGCUUGGGUUGCGAUUUUUUGCAAAAAUUUUUACCUUUUUUGUGAAUACAUUUUUAAAUUAUUUUUAUCUUGCAUAUAUCAAAUUGCUAUACUACAUUUUUCCACAAAACUCUUAAAAAAUAGAUUUUGGUCUUUCAUCGGGAGCGCCAUAGAUUGAUCUACACAACAUGGCUUUCUUCAGUUCAAGCCUCAUCGAGGGAUAUAAACGAGUCGAAUCGAGUCGAGUUUCGGCCUAAUCGAUCCGAGUCUCAACAUAAUUUUACGAAACUCGAACUCGAUCUCGAGGUCAACAACUUCAAAAUGUCAAGUUCGAACUCAAGCUCGAUCUUAAAAAAAUUUUAAAAAUAAUUAAUUUAUUUUUAAAAAAUAAAUAAAAUAAUACUUUUUUAAUAAAGGGAUAAUUUCAGAAACCUCCCCUGAGGUUUCUGACACUUUCACUGACAUCCCCUGAGGUUCUCAAAAUUUCACUUACCUCCCUUGCUUUUGAUUUUGUGGUAACAAUCCAGUCCAAAUCAGAUUAAAAUAUUAUUUUCAUGUGUGAGAAGGUAUUUUUAUUCCAUAGCUACCCUUUGCAGAAGUUGUAUUAGUAGAAGAUUCAAAGAAGAAUAAAUGAUUUGGACUAAUUAGUAAAGUUGAGGGGGGGUAAGUGCAAUACAAAAAAUUGCAUGCACCAAAUGUGCCAUGCAACAGUUAUUUGGCAGAUUUUGCAACGGCUAGCUGCAAAUUGCAACGGCCAGAAGGUUUGCUGUUUCAGUAGCAAUAGCAUAUAAAGCAAAGCAACUUAACUACCUCUGAGGUUUCAAGCUAUUAACAUUCUUUGCUACUAAUUUGGAGUGAUAACAAGUGCAUUUGCUGUGCUACAAUUAGAGCUCUGAGUAAAAAGUUUUAGCUGCAACCAUGGCCUCUUCAAGCCAUAGGGGAGAAUCAUGGAAUUCACCUACAUCUUUCUCCAUUAAAAACAGGUUUUGCCGCUGUAAUCGCAAAGCAACCGUAAUGAUAUCAGAGAGUGAAAGAAAUCCAGACAAGUUGUAUUUCUAUUGAGAAAUUUCCAACUUUGUGAUGAAUUUUAAAAAAAUUCUACAAAAGGGGUGAUUUUGGGUUUAAUUUCCGUCAGGGGGGUCUUCGCAUUUGUGAAUUUCACAAAUGCGAGCUUACAAGAGCUCGCAUUCGUGGAAUGCGAGCUCUGGUUAUUGAGCUCGCAUUCCACGAAUGCGAGCUCUUCUCAAUUUUUUUUUUCCUUUUUUAAGAGCUAGGGAAUUAUUUCUAGGAAGCAAAUGCGAGCUCUUAUCUUUUUUAUUUUGGUAUUUUUUGAGAGGUAGGGAAUUAUUUGCAGAAAGCUUCUAAUUUUUGUUUUAAAAAAUGUUGCAAAUAUUUAAAAUUUUGCAAAUAGCUCGCAUUUGUUAAAUUUGACCUGCAAAAAUUGUAUUUAACUUUUUUGUUAGAUUUCGCAUUUAUAAGUAUGACUUGUAGAAAAUUAGAUUCAAAUUUAGAUGUAUUAGGGUUUUAAAAAUAUUAUAUAAGUGAUAAAAAUUUUAUAAAUUGUAAAAAUAAAAUCAAACUGCUUGGAUAAUUAAAUGUUAUAUUUGCAUAAGAAAUAAUACAAUAAUCAUAAUAAUGAUAAUACAAUAAUAUUGGUGUAAUAAAACUGCCAUUAAUUUAAAUAUUUACUUAUAAUGCCCAAAGAGCCUAAUUACCAAUUUUUUCUUCUCGCGCUCAAAUAUAACAUUAACCCGCAUGCGAGCUAACCUUGAAAUAGAAAAAACACAGAAUCCCGCUUGCGGGUUUCAGGAGUAUUCGGAUAUUCUCAUAUGCACCUAUGCAAAUCGAACCAACCGGAUAUCUUAUCCGUAUCCCAUUUUUUUAAAUAAAAAUCUUAUAAAUUUGAAAAAUAAAAUCAAAUUUAGAUGUAUUAGGGUUUUAAAAAUAUUAUAUAAGUGAUAAAAAUUUUAUAAAUUGUAAAAAUAAAAUCAAACUGCUUGGAUAAUUAAAUGUUAUAUUUGCAUAAGAAAUAAUACAAUAAUCAUAAUAAUGAUAAUACAAUAAUAUUGGUGUAAUAAAACUGCCAUUAAUUUAAAUAUUUACUUAUAAUGCUCAAAGAGCCUAAUUACCAAUUUUUUCUUCUCGCGCUCAAAUAUAACAUUAACCCGCAUGCGAGCUAACCUUGAAAUAGAAAAAACACAGAAUCCCGCUUGCGGGUUUCAACGUUAUUCUGCGCUUCGUGUGUUUGCUUUUGUUUUGCUUUUGUCUUUUUUUUUUCGAAAUGGAGGGUUGGCGGUGGAGCUUAGUAACAAUUAAUUCUUCACUUUGUUGCCGCUACUCCAGUGCAUAUUAGGACCACUGGUUUGAUCACAAUUUCCUUUCCAUUUUUGUUCUUGUUAUUUCCUCUGUUUCUUUUCCUAUAUCCAGAAUGUCGUAUAAGACCACAUAUAAGUGAUCUUAUAUGUGAUCUUGUUAUUUCCUCUUGUCAAAUCACACCAGGCACAAAAAAUGGCGCCAAUAUUGCAGCUCAAUUGGCGCCUUACUCCCAAAAUGACUGGAUUAAUUCAUGUAUCAGGAAUCAAGUUUCUAUUAUUGUUGUUAAGCUUAAUUAAUCAUAUCAGAUGCCAUUAUGUAACUAAACGGUAGUAAUUAACCCCAACUACUUGGGAUAUAUCUGUAAUUUUGGCCCUGAUGACGUCAGAAAAGGGGCCCAAUUUUUUAUCAAGGGAGGUAAGUGAAAUUUUGAGAACCUCAGGGGAUGUCAGUGAAAGUGUCAGAAACCUCAGGGGAGGUUUCUGAAAUUAUCCCUUUAAUAAAUAAUAAAAUAUUAGGGAUAUAUAUGUAAUUUUACUAUUAAAAUAAAUAAAUAUAUAUAUAUAUAUAAUCGAGAUCGAGUCGACUUGCGAGCCAAUGAGUUUAAUAUUUUUGAACUCGAAUUCGAGUUCAAGUUUGACUUGAUCAGCUCGAACUCGAUAUUGAUCGAACUAGAGUCGAGCUCAGAUUCAAUUGCGAGUGGCUUAAUUCAUUUGCAGCCUAGCCUCACCCACGAGUAUGCCAGGCCAGGGUGACUGAUUAUUUUGAUUUCGGUUUUCGAUUUUGAAUCAUGGUCUAGUAAUGAAGAGGGGUUGAACCAUCUUUCCAUAGAAAAAAUGGACUAAUCAAUACAACAUCGUGUGCACUUUUUUUUAUACGCUAACAGGUCUAAGGAUAUAAAAUAUAAUCUGCAUUCAAAUUUCAUAUUAUACUUGAGAUCGGUUUUGUUUUUUUAAUGAUCUUUAUACUGAAUAGGAGAUUAACCCAACAAAAACAUUGUUUGACAAUAAAAAAGAGAGAUUAUUUCAAGAUAGAUCAAACAAGUUGUCAGAACAAGUACACGUUGUUACAACAGUUACAAUUCAACCAGACUGAAAUUAACAAAUCCACCAGAAGAUUAUCAGAUGAUUGGCACCAGAAAAUGAUCGAGUGAUUUAUUUAUUUUUGGUUGGAUAUGAAGCCAUUUUGUUGAUGCCACAAAGUCCUUCUGGCUUCCCUGUGUUUCUUUUCAUCCUUAUGUAUCCCUUCUCUCCCCACUUUGAACCCCACGAGUUCUUCACAAUGAUGUAAUCGAGACCCUUUGUUGAACCAUAUCCCACAGCCGCCACGCCAUGAUCAACUUGAGUUCCACAAUGCCCGUCAAAUACACCCUAUACCAAAUUGCUAUGGAUCUUAGAGCCUUUAAAGUGAAUGAAAACUAGGAUAAUUAACACACUUAAUGUAGUCAAUGAACCAAAUGAUCAGCCCUAAGUAAACUCUAUGCAUUUUUAUCAUAAAAAAUUGAUAAUCAGACAUGUAAUGGGGAGAUUAUAACUUAAUAGGAUUAUAAUGGCAUCGCAGACAAUUUUUAUACAUUGGUAUAAAACUCUUUCAAUUAUUAUUUUUUAUCACACGAGAUUUUAUGCAUUUCGUGGAAGUGUCUAAAUUUAGGACAAGAAUUAAUGAUUAAGAAUAGUUUUCCAUUUUGAAACUCAACAUUCAUAUUUUCCAACUUAAUAAUGAUGGGAUUGUUAGUUACUCAAAAGUUCGGAUGAUUCACACUUAGGCUAGACCAUGGUUUUGUUUUCUUUUUCUUUUUUCGCCCAACAUCUAGGUUAAGACCUUAUUGACACCGUCAAAAAUGUGGAUCUGUUUUUAAGGGCUAUUGGUAAAAAGACAAAAGAGUGGAAAAUGGCAGAAAACCAACAAGUUGCAUACCCCACUAUAGAACUGGAAAUCUCUCCCAGAAGCCUCAAUAGCUAUGCUUAGGGGCUGGUGUGCAAGUGCUUUAAGAAGACUCUGCUCACUGUUCUGGGGAACAUCAUGGUAACCACUGAUUUGGACCAGCUCUGAUUCAUCCUGAGACAUCACAAGUACAAAAAUGGAGAAAAUAAGAAAAACAAAGGGAUUCAGAGAUGGUAAUACUCAGUUGUCAACUGUCAUUUUACCCUCUUCUCAUCACAAGUGCCUUCCUCCAUAAGGUAAGGGUAGUCUUCCUCUCUGUGAAGUCCACCAUUGGAGGCUAUGAAGGCAAAUGCAUAGUCCAUAAGACCUCCAUUGCAGCCAUUAUUGUAUGUAGUGUCACAGUCAAUGAGCUCUUGCUCAGAUAAUGAAGUCAAAUUUCCAGUAACAAUUUGGUUUAUGCCCUCAACUGCAGCUACUGUGGAGAAUGCCCAACAACUUCCUGCACAUUGACAAACAUAUGUCAAGCAAAAAAUUGGCUUAUUAUCACGCUGUGAAUCAGUGCCAUCAGUCAUUGAUAAUCUUACUAGAGAGUGGGCAGUGUUUGAGAAUUGGGAGUUACGACCGUUUCUUAAUGACAGUUUAAGUCUUACGAGAUUUUUGGAGGCUAAUUUCCAAUCUUGUUAAUCAUAAUUUAUUUGCAGAAAAUAUGCUUUUCAAACCAAAAAGAAAGUGAAUUUCAAUGUAUUAUAAGGAAAUUUUUUUUGAAAUAUAAUUUAUAGAUUUUUAUCCAAAAAAAAGAAAAGAAAAAAGCCUGUAUGAAUUAUUAAAUUGUGUUGCAUACCACAUGAUCCUUGGUUCUUGACAGGUGUGACAGCUCCUUUCUUUCUCCAGUCCACUGACUUUGGAAUGUCCAUAACAUUUCCGUACGUAAAUUCUUCUUCCGGCGAUUGUCUCUUAGUAGCCAACUCACCAUUCAAUCCAAGAUACAUCUUUUUAAAUUCUUCAUGACUCAAAUCAGCAAACUCAUUCAAGCCAAGCCAGUAGUUGGCAAUGUCUUUGUUCCUCUCAUCAAUAUGCUUCAAAUUAUCUUUGAAAAUCUCGAACCUGUGCAACUUCUCUUCGAUGCUUUCGUAGAUUUUUCCGUGUUUUUGGAUCCAUGACUCGAAUAGAUUGAUGAGCUUGUCAAUGCAAGUUAAAUCAUCCGGUGUAUAGCCAACGAUCGAGAAAUCGCGACAAAAUGUGGUACUAGCUAAGAAUGACAAAGAAAAUAAAAGAAUUAUCAACUUAGCAUAUGAGGCGAAAGCCAUAGUUGCUUUGAGAGUUAAAAGUAAGAUUAUUUUGAUGUUGUGAAGAUGGGAAUGAGAGAUGAGAAUUGGGCAUACUUUAUACAAGUUUGAAUGGUUUUCAUGUGUUGCUUUCAAGUAAAGCUGGCAUAGUAUUCUAUGUUUUACAGAAUACUGAAACUUCAAGCUUGGUUCUGUUGGAAGGCUUUGAAUCAAAGCAUGUCUAUAUGACCCGUAACAGGUAGGUGAUUUCCAAUGUCCUCAUUUUGAAACAUCUGACAUCAUCUAAGAUGUUUUGGCUGCGUCAUGGCAAAGAUCUGGGGUCUAAUCAAUUGAUGAAUCAACUUGGAAAACGGCAUUGCUAUACUACUUGAAACAUCAAACACCAAAUCCCAAAGCCAAUAGUAUGGAAUAUGGAGCAUCUUCCUCUUUGUUUUUAUCACUUGAUUCGUUUAGUUGUAGUCUAAUUUUAUUUCUUUUUCCUUUGGAAAAUUUGCUAGAAAGAGAUGUACCAAUGAGCAGCAGGGCCAAAUUUAUGGAACGAUUGACAAAGUGUGAAUAUUUUUGGCAUAUUAAUGCCUCAUUUUGCCAGUUUAGGCAUUGUAUAUCCCGGAAAACAUCACCGCACAUUUCAAAAUAUGUGUUUCUGAAAAAUUUCGCACGAUUAUAAUGUUCCUGAACUAUAGUUAUAACAACUAAUAAUCAUACAAUUAGGUUUGAAAAUGAGUCUAACUAAGUGGAACAAUUAAAUUUUGAAAUUGCUUUAAUUACUUGAACUAGGUUGAAUUAAGGUUUGACAGCUUGUUUAUAUGUUAAAAAAAAACCAAAUAAAGUUUUAUUAGAGUGAACUCAAUUAGUACCUUAGAUUUUUUUAUAUAGAAAAUUUAUACUCACGGGCCCAAUUAAUUAGAGGUUAACGAAAGGUUUGAAAGUUGAGGACUUGAAUUUUACUCGGAUUAAUUAAAUGAGGAACUAAAAUUCAAACGAACUUUCACAGAGUCAAAAUCAAUUUGAUUGUUCCUUAUCAGCUUUAUAUGCAAAUCCUCAAUUGUUAUUUGCAACAUUGGUUUAGAAAACUUGUGUUCUUUUGUUCGACCGAACCCCCCGCCCCCCUCCGCUCCGCGGGCGGAGCGCAUCAAUGCAUUAGAAAGCUUACAUCUGAAUAAAUAAUUGAAAAUUUUUUGCUGCACCAUAUGCAUUUGGGACCUUUCCAUUGAAGUAGCUCCGAAACUUUUAAGGCUAGUGUUCUCUAGCCAAAUAUCAAGGUUUGAUUUGUAAAUUUGGCCAAAGUCGGAGGAAAGGUGAAAGUAGAUUGCCUCUUAUAAAGUACAUUUUGUAUAUGUUGACAAUUCACCUACUAUUUACAUCUUAAUAAGCUGAUGGUGUCGGCAUCAAAAUAAUUGGCCUUUCCUAAAAUUCAAUAAAACAACAAUGAAGUACAUUUUGUAUCUUAGAUCGUAUCACUCAAAACAUCUUAUAAAACAAAACUAUAAGUAGUUUAUAGAUUUUAGUGAUACUACAAUCUUAUGCUUUAUUACAUAACAUGGAUAAACAUGUAUUUUUGUCCUUGUGAACUACAAGUUUAAAUUAUUAUUUCUUCGUGCCAUAAUUCUUGAUUUAAUUUUUUUUUCUUAAAUUUAGAAAGCAGAGAGAGACGACACAUGAUGAAAGUAGAGUUUUGAUUAGAAUCCAGAACCUCUAUGUUCUAGAGCCAUGUUAGUCAUACAAUACAUCGAUACAUGAUGAAAGUAGAGCUUUGAUUUAUUUACAGAAUUAUAGAAACAUUUUGUAGGAGAAAUUAAAAUUAGCUUAAAUAUUAUGUAGCCUAUUAACUAUUCAUAAAAUUUUACAAAAUUCAUCUUCUGGAGAUCCAUCACAUAAAUAAAACAUGGAAAAUAUAGUACUCAAUUCCAAAACAGUAGUUAAAAGUAUCCUAAGCUUUAUAAGAGGACACUUUUUUAAGUGCAAGCAAGGGUCUCGAAUUUGAGACCUCUCACCUACUCUCCCCGUACCACCUAAUCCCCUCCCCCCCCCCCCCUUUUUUCUUCUCUCCAAAAAAAAAAAAAUAGAGUGCCAAAAACAUUGACAUUAUAUAGAUUGUCAUAAAUCUCUGAUUCGAAAGAACGAGUAUUGACCACUACAGAAUACAACAUCUAGUACUAAGGAAAUAUGACUACAUUACGUACAGCCAAAUAAUUAUGCUCUCUGCAAUAUGCUGAAAGUUUAGCUCCUAAAGGUAAAUUUAGCCAGCUCAUUCAAUUUCACUUCUACAUUAGUGAACACUUGCAUGAGGGUGAUGCAUCAGUUGUAUAAAGAGG
rnacentral:lncRNA from 1 species